rnacentral:lncRNA from 1 species
CGUUCUUUCGAAAGCAUAUGAGCCAAGCUCUCUCUCUCUCUCUCUCUCUCUCUCUCUCUCUCUCUCUCUAUCUAUAUAUAUAUAUAUAUAUAUAUAUAUAGGCUAGCGCUACUAUACUCAUAUAAGUAUAGAGCCCUUUGUACUCAUAAGUUUUCGACCGUUCGGAUGAAAAAAUGUGUGAUUAGGAUAAGAGUGGUUGCGGUUAGGUUGAUAGUGGAUCCCCUAGGGUUGAGUGGGUAGUUGGUUAAAUAGUAUAAUAUAACGGGUGAAAAUGAUUAAAGGGUAGAUCUAACGACCAAAAACUUAUGAGUAUAAGAGGCUUUAUACUCAUAAGAGUAUACUCAUAAUCGACUCCGUUGAACAUGAUCUAUACCACUUGAAGUGUUUAGAAAUUAAAUUUCAAAUCUUUUCGACAUCAUUUGCCUAAGGAUCAAAGGGUUUCAAAAUUUAUAAUUUUAAUGGUCGAUAAGAGGCGUUUUCUCGUUUAACGGCGUAAAGAUAUCCAAAUCAAUUGAAUUUUUGUUAGAAAAUUCUUUAAACUAUUUAAAACAAGAUCUAUACUCUUUAUCUUGAUUUCAAGACUCGUAUCAUCAUUUUUUAAAGAGUAUUCAUUUUCAGCCAUUCAUUUUUCUGUUCACUUGAUGGAUAAAAGAACAAUAUCGAAAGUGCGUGAAAUUUGAUUUCUAUGUAGUUUAAAUGGUUUAGAUCAUAUUUAACGGAGCCGAUCGUCAAUUUGGAAGCUCUAUAAUUGAAAACAAAUCGGUAGUAAAACGGCUCGUUUACUACCGAUAGUAUUCUAGCUCAACUCUCUCUCUCUCUCUCUCUCUCUCUCUCUCUCUCUCUCUCUAUAUAUAUAUAUAUAUAUAUAUAUAUAGAACUAGGCUACUAUACUAUCGGUAGCACGGAGGGCUCCGUGCUACCAAGUUGUUUUCGAUAAUGCGGCUUCCAAAUCGACGAUCGGCUCCGUUAGACUUUAUCUACACUAUUAAAAGUAUUUAGAAACUAAAUUUUAUAAUUGUUCGAUAUCAUUUAUCUAUCAAACAAGUAGUCUAAAAUUGAACGGCUGAAAAUAAAAAUCUCACAAAAAAUGAUGAUAAAAGAUUUAAAUUCAAGAUCAUAUAUACUGAUCUUACUCUAAAUAGUGAAAAAAAAUUUCUAUAAAAUUUUCAUCGCAUUUGGAUUGUUUUACACCGUUAAACUCACAAAUACACCACAUCGGCUAUUAAAAUUGUCAAUUUUGAAAUCUUUUGAUCACUAGUCAAAUGAUAUCGAAAAAAUCUGAAAUUUAGUUUCAAAUACUUUCAAUAGUGUAGAUCAAGUCUAAUGGAGCCGAUCGUCGAUUUGGAAGCCGAAUCAUCGAAAACAACUUGGUAGCACGGAGCGCUCCGUGCUACCGAUCGCAUAGUAGCCGGACUUUAUAUAUAUAAUAAUACUCAAGAUAGUGGCUAGAGAUGCUUUUGACCAACAUAUGAAAGAGAUCCAAAAUUUACACACUCCACUCGAAGUUAAUCAUAAGAGUACUUUAUUAGCUAUAUAAAAAGGAAUUUAUGCGUCCAUGUCACGCUUUUUGACUCUCAAAAGCAAUGUUCAAUUGUUUGGCAUCUUUUUUAGAUUGAUUGGACCGAGCUUUGAUGUCUAAUUCGAGUCUAGCUCGACUUGAUCCCAACGAAUUUAUUGAAUCUUAUCAGACUAGUCUAGGACCUACACAAAUCAAAUCAAACAGAUUUUAAUUGAAAUCUGAUCCGAUCAGGAUAGGAUAUAUCCAAACUAAAUCGCGUUGGCUUUACGUGGUUACCACUAUAGUUUGCUAACCCCUUUAUCAAGAAGGCCUCGUUUUAAGACCCACUGAAAGAUAUAUUUCAUCUGGAUCUUUCUUUUUUUGAAUUCAAAGAGCAUUCUCAAGCUAAAAUAAGUGAAUAUAGUAUAAAAGGAUGAUUAAUCUUAAAAUGAAAGCAGUGUAGCCUGGCAAGCAAGAAAAUACAUGCACAAUACUAGUGCUAAAACUAAUGAUCAGCUUAAAAAAUUAAGAGGGACUCGUCUCAUCAUCUAAUUUAGAUUAGAAAAAGUCUUGUUAAUCAAAUUAGAAAUCACAAGUUCUGUGCUAGCUAUUUUUACCGUCUAGAGAAGAAAAGAUGGUUUGGUUUGGUAUCGUCUUUAUAAUAUAAAUACCAUAAAAAAUUAGAUCACAGGUGAAAAAAAAAAACUAGUGCUGCAGAGAAGGAACAAAAUAUUCCAGUAAUCUAUAACUCUCAAAUUUUUUUUUUUUUUAAUGAACUCUAGACCUUAUUUUAUCAAAUAUAAUAAUAUUAUAAUUAUAAUAUGUGAUUAGUUUGUAACUAACUCAAUGCGGAUGGGGUUGUCGACUUGUCGCUGAGAAAAUUGAUCCAGUUCACAAGUGCAUGGUAGACCGGGUCCACGUAGCGACGCCUUUUCUGCAAUAAAUACCAGAGCUGGACCCCUGAACGGUGCAAUGUGAACUACAUUUGCUUGCAUCAAGCCCUCAAUUGUAACCAUCUCGGUGCAGUAGUGACACGGCAGACACGGUCCACGCAAUUUGCUUUCGUACGAAGGCGCCUAAUUAACCUUCCCGGUUACUACUUACACUGACACGUGGGUCCCACUUGUUGUCUUGUGGGACGGGACGGCCUUUGCAGCGUCCUCACGUGGUAUAUCACGGUUACACCGGAAUCCACGCUCGCCUCCCCUGCGCCUCCUCCCCUUUCUCUGUCCCUGCCCCCUUCUUCGUCUCCUUGCCCUUUCCCAAAACCCUAACCCUCACCACCACUUCUCUCUUCGAUCCCCUCUACCUAGGCGAGAGCGCGGCUCCGGCGAUGCCGCGGCGGCGCUUACCCUCCGGCGAUCCGCCGGUGCCGGACGAUCUCCGGUGCCGCAGGGCCGACGGCCGCCAAUGGCGGUGCCCAGAGCGCGCCCUCCCCGGGAUCUCCUUCUGCGAGCACCACCACCGUCUCUCCCUCCACGUUCAGUCCAAGCGCAAGCCCCCGAAGCCCCGCCGCGCUCCCCGUCGCGCUCCGCCGCCGCCUCCACCGCCGCCUCCGCCAGAUCCACCGGAGCCUGAGGUUCCCGACGACCAACUCCGCUGCCGGAGGACCGACGGCCGGCGGUGGCGCUGCUCGGCGCGCGCCCUCCCUGGCCUCAGCUUCUGUGAGCACCACGACCGCCGGAUCCGCCGGAACUCCGCUCAGCCGCCGCCGUCGCCGGAGCACGAGCCGCUCGAUCCGGCGCCAAGGAAGCGGCGGAGGAGGAGCGAGGAGCAUCCUGCGGCGGAGGAGGCGGCGACGCAGCGGCAUGAGGAGAGGAAGGAGGGGAAGAAGAGGCGGAUGACGUCCGAGGCGGCGGAGGAGGCGGCGACGCCGGAGGCGAAGGUGACGCGGGACCUCCCGAACGGCGUGAUGGUCAUCUCGUCGACGAGUCCGGUCCACGAACGUCCGUCCGGGCCGCCGCUCGAUCGUAAGCUAGGGUUUGAGCCGGGGUUGCUCGUGAAGAGGCCCAUCCGGUCCAAGAAUGUCGAGCCGGUCCCCGUGGCAACAGUGAAAGUUUGUUUAUUCCCUCUUCUCCAUUUCACUGGUUGUUAUUUUAAUAUUUUUAAGUAUUAUUACUCUUUAAAAAUUCUUGAUCUUUGGUAAAUCUUGUUACUUUCUCGGCGGAAUAGAUUUUUCCUGGUGGCAAAAGAUUGAAGAAGGACCGCAUAAGGACUUGCCACAGGUGCGGGAAGAGUAAGAUGGCGCGCAUUUUUCGGUGUAAGAGUUGCCGGAAGGAGUUCUUCUGCUCGAGCUGCAUUAAGAAAUGGUUGGCUUUGCUUCUGAAUUUAUUGAAUUUUCACUCUCCAGUGUUUUCAUCAACAUAUCGAGCUUCACAUCUUUGUUUGCUCUUCUUGUUUAUGUCAAAAUCAUGGUCAAGUUUCAAUUUUAGUACCGACAAAAAGUCAGCCAUUUGCUGUUGGAGAUGAACAAAGGCACACCAUUCACAUGUUCGAUGCUUGUAGAUAAAUUUGUGAUGGUUGAUAAGCUUCAAGCUUGAUUGGUUUUGGACGAGGAAUACUGAAAAAUGACAUUUUGAUGUUUUUAACCACUUUCUUUCAUUUUAAACAAUGAUUACAUAUUGAAACAUUGUGAUUGUGGCUAUGAGCAUUUCUGGAAACAGCUCUUUGUUCGUCAUUAUUGACUGCCAAUUCAACCUAGCAAGGGCAUGUUUUUUAUUGAUGCAACUGAAAUUGGGUUGCAAGUCAUGUUUAGUGAGAUUAGAAACAUUAGCUCCACCAUCAAACAUGACGAUGCAAACAAGAUCCACCUUUCCACAGUGUAUUGAUUUUUCUCCACUUAGAUGUGAUUUUGGAUCUUUCUAAGGGGAAGCUGUUUCAAGGAAUUUGGCCUUUAGUUUGGUGGCUGAGAAGAGUUUCAAGGAAUUUAGCCUUUAGUUUGGUGGCUGAGAAGAGUUUCAAGGAAUUUAGCCUUUAGUUUGGUGGCUGUUCUUCUCAGCAUUGCCAUUAUCGAUGGCAAAACUUGGUUUGUGGUUGAAUUACAAUUGCACCACUCCAAACACUCCCCAGUCUCUACUUCACUUACAUAGAAUCAGGAUAACAAUAUCUGAUGCUUUGAAGCACGACUCAGAUCCACAUUGUGAACCCUGUUUGCUUGCAGGAAAUUGUCCUUGGAAAAAAAGAAAAAAAAAGAAAAAAAAACUGUUCUAAGCCCUCUUAUUUUACUCACUUAAAAAGUUGACUUGGCCCACAAGAUUGUAGCCAAUUAAGAAUUAAUAUAUUAGGAUAGGCAUGGCAAUCUGUCGCUCACAUAGCUCUGCCCUUGUUUUUAGGAGAAACACUAAAUUAAUAUGCCUUUAGCACAUACUGGAGUUUUUGUUUUUUAAUCUUAGAACCUUAUUUGUGCUUUUCGCUGCUUUAGAAUCUCCAAAUUUUCUUCUUUGACAUAAGUUCUAUCAAAGUUUACUACUGCUAAAAGAAGAAGCAAAAGCCGGCCAAACAGAUCCAUAGCUAGCCUAUUGAAGCAUGGGCAUAACGUGAGCUGUUACCAACCAACUCCAAUACAAGGCAGUAUACUUGCUAUUGCCAUUAUCCCAUGUAUAGACAACUAAGAGUUGCGGAGAAAAUAAUAUACUAACAUUGUAUGUAUAGACAUCUAAGAGUUGGCUUUGUUGACCUAAAUCGAUCUGCAUUGUUGUGAUUGCCUUUCAUACCAGGAUCUAGUUGAUGUGAAGCUGUUGACAUCAUCAAAUACUACUUCUGAAUACUCGUGAAUAUGUUUUUCCAUAGACUGACUUAUGAUUUUAGCAUUAAGCUAGUCCAAGUUUUACCUAAUAUUAGCUUCAACCAGUGUUUUCGGGAACGCAGACCACUCCUCCAACUGCGAUACAGAUUGCACGUUCCGAUUCAUGGUAGGUUCCUGAUAUGGAUCGCAAAAAGUGGCGAACCAACUAUCUUAGAAAAAAUAUUUAGGUUUUCUCGAUCUGAUUUGUUAGGUUUCCUUAAAUGCAAAAUAGAGUAAUACAACAGAAUUAUACCCCUGGCCUUAAAAACAAGAAACGGUGUACGGUAACAAAGAGUAAGUUUAUGAUUUUUUUAGAUGCCAAUCGAUAUUAAUAUUCCAAAAUGAACCACAUGUCAGAUUAAUGAUAUGACUUGCCCUACUCUCCUUUUGCCACAUUCCUGAGAAACUUAGUGUAUUGCAUCACCUAACCUGUACCACAUACCAUGUUGUAUCCCAUUCGUAGUAACAUUUGGCCUUCAACUGCAUGAUUAAGGUUGUACUAUGAUAACAUAGGUUUUGUUUCUUUUAGCUUUUGAAAUCUCUUGUAUUUAGUAUUGUCUCUAUUUUGCAAUCUGAUGUAUAGUUCAUAUCCCUUCAAACAUCAACUCUAAAGGACUUUAGUUGGUAUUGAGUCAGAACUAAAUUCUCCUCUAGAUCAUUUAUUCUGACUAAUAGUUUGAUUUAGGUACUCUGGAAUGUCUAAAAUGGAAAUAAAAUUGUCUUGUCCUGUUUGUCGCGGCUCUUGCAACUGUGAAAAGUGCAUGCUGCGUGGAGAAAAGGACGAUGUAUGUAAGGUAUGCUUUGCCCUAAAUCUUUCCAUUUUCUAUUCUUCUCAUCAACUAUAUGUGAAGCCACCUUUGGCUUAUCUCGAUAUGCAUUUUAUUUAACCUUCAGGAUGUAGAAGACAGUCAAGCGACUAAUAUUAAAAUCAAGUAUGCCGAUUACCUUUUCUCUCAUCUGCUUCCUGUCCUAGGAAAGAUCAAAAAGGAACAUAUUGAUGAACUGGAGAUAGAAGCAAGUAGACAAGGUUUGUUUUUAAUCAGAAGUAUACUAGUCAAUUUUCUUUCUUAUUAUUUUGACUGAUUUAACUUGUUUUGCAUUAGGAACAAAAUUGACUGCCGUUCGCCUUCAAGUGGUGGAAAAUGGCCGUGAUGAGAUAGUUAACUGGUAUAACCUGACACUCAUCUUUUGACAAUAUCACUUCCGUUUGGAGCUAGCAGCAGUUAGUUUAUAAUUCUUCUUCUUUCAUCAAGUUAUGCCUGUUUUUUUCUAAAUUUACUACCUUUUCCUAUAUUUUCCGUCGAUUUCUUAAUUUCUUACAAAUUUUCCUAUAUGUUCGUUAGUGUUGUUAUAAAAAUUCUGGCUUCUCAUUGUGCUUUAUCGACUGCUUGGAAACAGCAAUCUCUGCAAGAUGCCGAUUCUGGAUUUUCUGAGAAGCUGCUCGAAGUGUUCCUAUAAGCUUGAGUAUUCUAUAGUGUCACCUAAAUAGCUUGGNUUUUAAAGGUACAGAUAAUAUUUUUUUUAUAAUUAAUAUAGUUCAUUAAACAAAAGAAAGUAUCUAACAUACAACAUACUAAUAUAAUGAGUAGGACUACUGUGCUAUUAGGAGUACAGUAGAGCUUUGUGCUUUUAACUUCCUAACCAACUAUUAGUUUUGAUGAAUAAUUAGGAUGAGAGAGAGAAAAAAAAUUAGGAAGAAAUUCAAAGAGGAGAAAUUGAGACACCAAAUUUUGCUUUAAUUUUUUUUCUUUCUCUCCCUAAUCGUCUAUCAAAAUUGAUGGAUGGUUAGAAAGUUAGGAGUAUAAGGACUGAUAUGCUUCUAAUAGUACAGUAGUCCUGCUCUAUAUAUAUAUACCCAAUGAGUGAAGCAAGGAUAUUUAGAAAAGAAGUAUUAGGUCUUUCCCUAAUUACAGCACAAGUGUCAAAAAUUUUUAGCUAUUGCAGAAUCUUAAUAAUUUCAACUUUUUAAAAUAGAAUGUCUCUAGGUGAUCAUUGAUCAAAUCUUGUCCAAAAAAAAAAUAAUGAAAAAGAUAUUCAUAUAACCAAAUGGUCCUCCAUAUUGAAAUUAAUUGCACUCAUUAUAGUAACGCAAAAGAUGGCUCACAAAUUCUAGUGAUCACGUUUUGAGCAUCAGUCAUAUCAAAAAAUUGCGUGUGGACAUCCACUUAUUAUGUGUUGUUGGAAGAGAUAAGCCUUAGCAUGUAUGUACUUCCAAUUUUAUAGCAUUAUUUUGAAAGCUAAAUCAUAACAAAAAGUUAAAAGAAAAUUAAUCGCUACCAUAACCUUAAAAGAAGAUUAAGUUAAUUCAUUAUAUGUUGCAAGCUAUACGAAUGGUGAAAUUUAAUGUAAUUUAGGUGAUUUCAUUAUAAGGUAAAUUUAAUUAUCUUUAGAUGAAAUAGAGUUCAACUAAACAAGUUGACUAGCUUGUAUUACUAUAAACCACUAAGGUUUCCUGUCCCUACAAUCCAAAAUUCAUUGUAAUUUUACAACUUGAUUAAUUAUCUGAAAGUCAAGUUUCAUACACUAGUUUUGUUAAAAUUUUUUCCUUUUAAUAAUUUUUCUAAUACUAAAACCAAAAGGGGUUGGCUUAAUUCUAUUAGUUUGUAGAUUAAUUAAGCAUUCCUUUCAGCAAAUUGGCAAGAUUUAUUAACUGUAAAUGUUGAUGAGAAAUGAUUUAUCCUAUUGAACUAAAUUAAAAGGAAAUUGUAGUACAAAAUCCUUGAUAAAAAGAAUUAAUUAGAAUACGAACUCUCUUAAUUAAUUACUAAUCCAUCCUAUUGUGUGAUAUAGUUUUGAAUAUUGAGGUGUCAAUUGAAGUUCCUGUCAAACAAUAAAAUCGUACAUUUUUGGCAAUUAAGAAGGCUCAAAGAAAUUUUAGUUUUUUUUUUUUUAAAGAAAAAUUUUAGAUAUUGUGUACUUGUGUUCUAGUAAUUAGACAAUUCAACUACUCAUCUAACACGUACCAUCUAUGCACGUGGCACCAGUGAUCCACCGAUGAUACUGGAUGUGUGCCUUUUUAAUUCAUUUUCUGUUAUAUAUGAUAAAUUAUUAUGUUUCUCUCAGGUCAAAUCAAUUAAUAGAGCUUUAAUUUACUGCACCAAAAAAUUCAAGAAAAAUAGUAUUAGAAAAAAAAAAAAACAACCUAUAUUCGCUGGGGACCGAUUGAUUACUGAACAUGGUCAAAUUUAUUUAGUAGUGAUUUGUAACCGGCUCCUUAAUUAUAUUUAUAUGUGAAUAUAAAAAUUAGUUUUGUUGAUAAUCUAUUAUCUUGGUUUCAUUCUUUGUUUAUAACAUGUCACUCUUAAUUUCGAGUGAAUAUUUAUAUAAUAUGGUUUCUUAUUUUUUUUCUUUCUUUCUUUGGAAAACAUAGGAUAAUAUAUGUGUAUAUAUAUAGAGAGAGAAUUGCUUAGAUAUUAUUGUGAAUCGUUUUAAUUGUGUGAUUUGAUCGAUAGGAGAAGCUAGAGUACACUGAAUUUAACCGUAAAGCUUAUCCCCGUGAUGUGUACGAGUCAACAAUCACGAGAGGGAGAGGUUUGAAAUCGACAUGCCUCAAAAAUAUUACUUUUUUUUUUCUAAUUUGUUAUCGUUUAAUAAUUAAUUAAUCACACUACGAUGGAGAGUGAAAGGUUUAGACGUGAGACCAACCUAAAGCCUAUUCCGAGCCCAAACAAAUGGCAAUAAAGAGAGAGAGAUCUAGAGAGAGAGAGAGAGAGAGAGAGAAAGAGAGAGCAAAGGGUGAAGAAGGUUCCUUCACAUUAACAUAACACCACCCCAAUUCCCAUCCAUGUUGGUGCAUGUGGGUCAUUCCAUCCAUGUGCGCUCAUGUGGUGGUUUGCAUCCCCUGUCCCCACCACCCACUUCUCCUACACCCACCCCCACCCCUGCUAAUGACCCUUGAUUCCCAAGUCUCUCUCUCUCUCUCUCUCUCUCUCUCUCUCUCUCUCUCUCUCUCUCCAACGUUGCAUGAAUCAGGUUCACCGUGAUGGGUGUCUCUUGCCAGCUGUCCAUCUAAUCUCAUACUUAAUUACAACAUGUUUAAUUCUGCUUCAAAGCAUAGUGCUAUUUACUUGAUACUCUCUCUCUAGAUCUCUCUCUCUUUUAUUGUACUGUGUUGAUAGAUGUAUCAUAUUUUACCACUAACUGUCCUCUAAUUUCAUAUUUAAAAUAUAUUCGAUCAUAUUGCAUAGCAUAGUACCGUUUAAAUAGUAUUUCUCUCUUUCUAUUGGCGCAUGCAUCUUAUUCACAAUAUCAAUCUAUGCAUCAGAUCGGUCCAAUAUUUUUGUUAACUAGUACUUAUAAUCCAACCAUCCAACUAACUCUGAAUCAAAAUCGUCCCUAGUUGGAGAGUAAUUGAUAAGUUUUUUUUUUUUUAUCUGAGAACAAUAUUAUGGAAUAUUAGUUUAAAACUUACUUUACAUGUAAAUGAGGUGUAAUUGUGGGUUAAUUGCUAGUUUAUCUUAAAAAAAGAGAGAAUGUAAUGCAAAAAUUGAGGGAAAAAAUUAGAACUUAUUAGACAAUAGAAGAAUUAAUAAAGUACUAGAUAUAAUUAAUGGAUAAAAGAUGCAAUGGACCACAUAGCAUGUGCAUCAGGUGCAAACAAUAAUUUCUAGUCCAUCUGUCUCUCUCAACUUUCCCUUUCUCUCUCUAUCAAAAUCCCCUCCUCUCUCUCUCUCUCUCUCUCUCUCUCUCUCUCUCUCUAAACUCUCUAAAUAUUCUCUUCCUCUAAUCCCCAUUUCCUCCUCCUAAACUAGACUAGCCUUUAUUGAGUAACCAUUCAUCCGAGCUACCUUUCCCUCUUCCUUUCCUUUUUCUUAUUUCUCCCUCCACCCCCCAGCUUUGUCUCUCUUUGUCAACUGGGUUUUAUAGGACAUAGGAUUUCCCUGUUAGACAGGUGUGUCAGAGAACUGUUUCUUUCUCUAUCUCUCCUGCAUCUUGUCUCUAAAAGAUCAGGGAGGCCCCUCCUGUGUCAGAAACCAAGAUCAUAUAUACCCUAUCUGGCCCUUAACACCACCAUAUAUACAAUCCCAUAACCCUCCUCCAACAAAAGAAACCCUAGCUCGUUAUAUAUACAUCCCUCUAUCUUUACACCCACUCUCUCCCUAAUUCCCUACCCUUUUUUUUUCCUCUCCUCUCCUUCUUCUUCUCUCUCUAUGACUGCCACUGGAUCCCCUGGAAACCCUAACCCUAACCUCUCCAAGCCCAUGUUGGUCCAUCACUUCCUGCGCGCCCUGGCGCGCGUAAACCGGGCGGCUCCGAAGCAGUCGCACGCCCGUCGGAGCCGACGGAUACGCUGCGCUGCGUACGCCUCCAUGGCCGCCGCAGCAGGGCCGGGCCGUCGAUGGAGCCGCGUGCUGCUCCGCAGGCUUCGGUCUUCGCCGAGCAGCCAUAGGAGGAGGAUUAGUGUUCGGGUUGCCAGGCCCCCGCGGAUAGCCACGGCAUCGUCGCGGGUCGAAACCCUAAGAAGGCUCGUCCCCGGGGGACGGAGCUUGGGAUACUGUAGCCUGCUGGAGGAGACGGCGGAUUACGUGCGGUGGCUCGACGCGCAGGUGCAGCUCAUGCAGAGCCUGGUGGAUUUCUUCUCUUCGUAAGUAGGGUUGUUGAUAAAUUCUGCUGCAUGCAUUAAUAAGAUCCAGAGCAAAAUGGAGAUGGAACAGGAAGAAGAAGAAGAAAAGGUGAGGUUGUUUAAUUUGUUAGUAAGUCAAGCAAUCAAUUACCUUGAGAUUAAGGGUUUGUAUAUCUAUUUCUAGUAAGAGGAUAGAUUAUACAUAAUUUGUGUAAAUAUAAAUAUAUGUUGGUUUGUAUGUUAGAGACACAUGUGAGGCUUGGUGUAUAAUUUAGGCCUUUAAUUCUAUUGCAAAAGCAUGCAUGUAAGAAUUGGAUCUGGUAUUAAUUAACAUCCAACAAUAUGGAUAUGGUAUGUUAUGGUUUGAGUAUAUAUAUAUAUAUAUGAUUUUAUGAUCUUUUCUAAUGGCUACUGAUCCAAGUGUUGCAGGUGAAGAGGAAGGAAGAAAGGAAUUUUUCUUACACAAGGAUGGUAUUCCUUUUGAUAUAAUUUGUUUUGGGUGCAAGAAUCAAAUGCCAAAGGGGUAGGAUUGGGAAAGUGGGAGCCACAACUUGGGGGGAAAAGGUGGCUAUUUUUCUUGCUCUCAAAGACAUACAUAAUAGUAAAGGAAACCAAGAGACAUUCCCUCACAAGGAGGGUAUUUAUUUAUCUUUAUGGUUAAGGGUCAUUUUUAUUUUCUGUUCUUUGGUGACCUUGAUUACACCUACCAAAUUAUUCCUCUCCUUUUUUUAGGUGGAAUUACCUCUAUAUAUUUGAGUGUGAUAUCAACCAUUAAGUGCUAGAUAAUUCUCUUUCCUAAUAUUGCUGAUUUAGACACAAAUGUUUGUCAUAUCCCCUUUUUAUUGUCGUGCAUGACAACAUGCAGCAUAUAGCACAUAUUUGUGAUUAGAUUUUAUGAGAAAAUUACUUCAUAUACAGUUGUAAGAACCUAGUAAUUUCUCAAUUACAAUUAGCAAUAAAGUCUCUUAUAAAUUAAUGGAACAAGUAGUAGCCAGAAGAAGAAAUAUUUAAUACACAAAUUUAAGAGAAUUAUACUAUAGCUGGUUAGAAAGGUGUGUUUUACUGUUAAAAUAAAAGGUUAUGUAUAAUAAAGCGCAUGUAAGGUUAAUUUAUUCAUGUUGUUCUUCCAAUUAAACCAACUUCAUGCUAUUUUUGUUGCUAUGUACAUCCUUAAAACCUUGUUAUAUAUGAAACUUGCCGAUUAUAGCAUGCAUCUUAGACCAUCUGCAUGUCAACAUCAAAAUGAUUUUUUAUUUUUUAUUUGGAGAGAAACCAACAUGAAUAUUGAACAUAUUCAGGGUGUGGUCAUAUAUAUAUUUGUUAUGAUUGAAUUUAUUAUUACUAUUAAUUAAUUCAGUUGGAAAAUUUCUGCAUGGGGUGAUAAUUAAGUAUUCUGGCUAACUUUACCAGAAGACUUAUAUCUCCCUAAUAAUCUCAUAUAAUAUAGUAAGCAGAAUCCUAAUUUGAGUGCCUUCAAGUUCAACUUAGCAGGAAUAUAUACUUUUUAUUUAAACUUAACUUUUUUUUUUUUUGCCUUUAGAACCCUUUUUUAAUCUUAUUUUCAUCACCAUUUAGCAUCUAGUUCCUCCAAAUUAAUUUGUCCUUGCAAUUAGCUCUUGCAAUUAAAUGCUUUCUUACAUGAAUCAUAUUGAACUGUUUUACUUUAAUAAUGUAAUGGAUUUUUAAAAUUUACUCGUGAAAAUGGGUGAUUAGAUAUGAUUAACAUGAUAAAUAAAUAUAGUAGGCAUUUUCCUUUGAAGGAAGUUUCAUGGAGAUUUUUAAUUCCUCUUUAGUGUGGGUUAAGGUUACAUUAUUGAGUUGGUAGGAUCAUUAGUUGUAUGAACUUUUGGAUUUUUGUUUGAAGCCUCUUCUCGUGUGAAGCUACUUUGAAAAUAACAAUUCGUUCUCUUUAACUGCAAUAAUUAUGAUGGUUUCUAUGUAUGAUUUUUUUUUUUUCCUUAGAAAAAUUCGUGUAUAUAUAUAUUGGACAGGGGGUUUGGUUUGGAACCUACAUGACCUUUGUUAAUAUUUAAAUACGUAUCUCCAUUUUCAUUCCUAAUUUUUGUACUAAUUUAAACUUCAGAAAAAACUAGUCACUUUACUCGAGAAAAAGGAUGCGAAAAUGAGAGAAAUAAAUUGUUCCAAUCUUAUAUAAUUUAGUAAUUUAGUUAUUAGUGCCAUGGAAUUCAGGUUAUUUUUCAGAUAUUCGCAUAGGUCAUGUGAUCAAUAUCGCCACUAGCUAGCAUGAAAGAUUUAGAGUGAAAGUGCUAGAAACCUUUUGCUACUCAAUGCUUGUUUGAUUUUCCUUCUGCUUUUGUUUUCAGUUGUAGUUAUGUAUACAGCGGUAACCAACAAUGCUAGUGAAGGCUCAAAAGAAAAGGCAAUAACAUAAUUGCGAUUCUACGUGGAAAAAUAUGGAGAAAACAUGUAGCUAAGCAUUUGAUACACUAUUUUUUGAUUACUUGGCACUUAUUGGACAACAUUUAUGAUACCCUAUGGCAAAACGAGACAAGUCUAUCGUUCUUUGUCCUCAUGGGAAAACAAAGAAUUGAACCAGUUUGGAUGCAUUUAUAUCUUCUUUUGCACAUCUCUUUUGUAUACCAUGCAGCAUACAUAACCAAUAGAUAAAAAAAAUAUGAUCACAUCCACAACAUCAUAAUAUAUUAGGCCAAGUGACUUCUCAGAAUAAGAUAAUCCAUUUUUUGAGCGAAAUGCAUUACGUACAUAUCCUAAUAAAUGAAGAUUACUAUCAACUUAGAAGGGACUAAUUAUAACGACGUACGCAAAAUUCAUCGCUCUGUAUGUACAAGCUAUCACCGAUUAUAACUUAAGUUGUGCGAACAACCAAACAAUUGCACAAAAUGCCAUGAAUCCAAGUAGUUUAGCUAGGCAAGGACUGUUGCCAUACAAUUAAGCCAUUAUAUAUAAUCUCUUCAAACCAUGCACAAUACUUUGUAUUUGGUACGCAAGAUCGCAAAUUGUGGAUAUUCCCUUGACACUUAAUUAGUUGUCCUGUACACCUGUAUCCAGUUAUACUCAUUAAUAUAUAUAUCAGUUUCAAUUCAAGUACUAAAUCUGUAUCUUCAGUAAAGGAGAGCCAUGCAUGUUACGUACGUACGUACUGUUCUUUCCCUUCCUUCCCAUUCAAUUUUUAUUUUACUUAUAUGGUUGCUAAAGUUCUUAAAUAUAUUGUAUAUAUAGUAUCCAGGCCAAAUCUAUUGUCAAAUAUGCAAAUCCUUAAACUCUCCCUUGUAGAACUGAGAGUGAAAGUGCUUGUAAUCUGAAUUAACUCUCCCUGGUAUUCUCUAUAAACAAGCCUAAGAAUAAUUAUAGAAAAGAAUAAUCUGAAUUAUGUGCUUUCCCAAACUCUCCUCGUAAAACCGUGUAGCUUGAGCUUGUUUACUAACUCAAGUCAAUUUGCUUCUAAAUGGUUCGAGCCCGUGUGAGCCCAUUGGAAGCCAAACGUAAUUUCACCAAAUAUUUUAGAGAAUUUUAAUAUUUUAAGGUGAUUUGAUUCCUCCCUAGUCAAAUAAUAAUAUUACAAUAUACUAUUUGAUUCCUCCACGGAUUAGUUUUGGUUUUUUUUUUUUUUUUGGAGGGUAGGAAUUAAAGAGCUUAAAUUGGUACAAACAUAUAUAAGACCCGAUUAACCAACAUAUUAAAAGCUUCAAAGAGCCUGGUCUCUUCCGAAGUACUUUUUUUUUUAUAGAUUGCUGGCAUUUGACAAAUUAAUCUAUAUGACAUUUGAACUAUAUGCAUGAAAUAAUUAAAAUUUUCUAUUAGAAUGUUAUCAUGAGAGAUCUGUAACAGAACUAGGACAAAGGUCCCUCAAAUAUUAUAUAAUUUAUAGGAGAUCACUCCACCUCUAAGUUAAUUUGCUAUAUAAUUAGUUUAACACAAGUGGCUUUUCCAAGCACGAAGAUGCCAUUGAUGGGGCAAAGGGUUUACUUUACGUCCCUUUGGGGAUCAUGUAAGGACCAAUUAAAGGAUAACUUAAUUAUUUAGUACAUAUAGCUAGCUUAGAAAUACUCUAGUGCUUUGUUCUUUUGAUUUGUUGGAUCCAGCGAGAGUGGUAGGGUUUUUUCGUUGGAUGUGUCUAGAAGGCUCAAAGCUUACUAUUAAGUUAAAUAAUAGUAUAUUGAUAUUUCGAAAGCGAGUUUGUGUUUUUAAUUUUUUGGCUCUUAGAUUAAAAUUUUUAGUCCUCGAAUGAUGCAUAAUUAAUGUUUAUUAUCUACUUUUGCAUCCUUGAAUUGGUUAGAUUUGGUCAGGGUACGAAAUAAUAUUUAAUCAAAGGAUAAAAACUUUAUAGUAAAUACUAUUUAUUUACUAUUAAUAGCAUUAUAUAUAUAUAUAUAUAUAUGCGCUAGCUUGACUGGAAUACUAUUGAUUGCAAAAGGUCCUUUAUGCUAUAAAAUUUUUAACUCUUGGAUGAGAAAUUAUAAGGUUAGGAUAAUAUUAGUCCCUUAGGGUUGAGUGGUUCCCACUGGGUUACAAUAUUUAACCCAAUGAUUAGAAAUGAUGAAAACAAUNAUAUAUAUAUAUAUAUAUAUAUAUAUAUAUAUAUAUAUAUAUAUAUAUGAAGUGUAUUUCACAAUUAAUGGCCUGAAUAUAACUGAGGAGGUCCGUGUAUAUUUUAAUUUUUUUACCCUAUUUGGAAUUAGUUUGGAAUCAAAUAUCAAACGGUUGACGUAGGUUAAAGACACUGACCUAAGCCUAGAAAACUAGCAUAAUUAAAACUAGAAUAUUUUAAAAAAAUCAACACAUUGAUACUAAUCCAAUCCCAACUCAUCCAUGUGGCUUAGGUUUGUAUAGACCCGUGAGUAAAUUACUUAGUACUAGAGCCCAUGUGGCACCUAUUAGUUGAGUAAUAAACAAUAUAUAUACAAAACCAACUUAACUUGACCCCAACCCAGUGUCAAAGCCUAGCUUAAACUCUAGCUAAUUUUUUUAAAAAAAAAUUUAAAAAAAAAUCUCAUGCAUGAGAAUUUAUCUAGUACCGAAUUUAGAUUUGAAUCAAAUUUCCGUCAAUUUGAUGGAGUAGUCUGGAUUUAAAUUUCCGUCAAUUAUUAAGUAAAUACACAAGAGUACGUAGUAUCACUAAUCAUAUAAUGACCAACUAAUUAAUUAAUCAAAUGCAACAGUAACACUAAUUAUCGAGUAGAGAAUAUUUACGAGGACCAAGUAUGAGAUUAAACAAAACAAAAAGCUCUUGUCGCGUAACAAUCAAAUUGGCGAAUAUUAAAGCACGCAUGCACAGUUCUCAACCCAUUUUGUUCAUUAUAUAUAUAUUAAGAAGAGUAGCCUACAAGUUGACGGAAAGGCUCUCUAAUCCUUAUUAUUUGCUUUAGUUCCUUUGGUUUUAUUCUCCUUUUAAUAUUAUCUCAUUAUAUUCGCAUAUAACGUGGGACAUACUCUUCAAUGAUUGCUAUAAUGCUUUAUCACUACGUAUUAUGACUUUAGGACCCCACCCCAAAGCUAAUGCUCAUAACGGCUGUAUUUUUUAAAUCAACCUCAUCAUCGCACAAUCAUCAUGACCAUCAUCAUUACCAACUUUAAAAUCACUCCCUUAUCUCACUACAGUCUAUAAGAGCCCAAUUAAGCUUAACACUUAAUGCUAAGACCGGAAAAUUAGUCUGUCAAAGAUGGGUUGUUUAGUUGGGGCGGCGGCGGGGAAUCGAUGGUGCGGCGGCGGGAGGGGGGGGCGGAAGUUGAGGAGGAGGAGGAGGCGUCGAGGGGGCGGCACGGUACGUCUGGGGACCGGGGGAGGGCAGCGGGGCUUAAGGUUGCGACGGAUAGUGCGGUGGUCGCAGUUGCGAUGGCGGGCAGUGGUGGAGGAGCUCCUAGCGCCGAUCAGGAAGGCCGUGAUGGAGAUGGCGGCCGCGCGGCAACUCGUCGGGGCGCCGCAAGUGUCCUUCCCUUUCUUCUGCCCCUUCCCAUUGCCCCUUGUGUGAACUCUUUGUAACAAGGAGGCUGUGGAUUAACUAAAGAGGGGAUUAGCAAAGGUAAGGGGAUAAGUGCACGAGUGUUUAGUUUGAUGAUAUGAAUUGUAAAUAAGAUCAUUUGCUCUACGCAUCAUAUCUGGUGCUUUACGUUUAUCUAGCUAUAAAAGGGUGUAAUCUCUCUGGUUUUUAACACAAACCUAGUCUUACCUUAUAAGCAGAAACUGAAAAUUUGAUGAACAAUAAGAAUUAUAGUAUUUAAGCUUCAAAAUUAAAAUUUUUAAUUUGAAACUCCUAAUUGUAGCCAAAAAGUUGAUAUUUCACUAGUAAAACAUAAGUUGGGUAUUGAGGGAGUCCCAGGUUUCACGUCCCUACUUGAAAGAAAUGGCCUGUGAGAUUCAUGGCUUUGUUUUUGUGCCAACAUAUAUUUUGAGUUUGGUUUGCGCCCUCCCGUGUUAGUAAGUACAAAUUAUUAAAGCAAAUAAUAACAUUAGAGCACACCACUGAUUUGAAAAACAAAGAUUAAUUGAAAGAAACAUAACAUUAGAACACAUACUUAUCCAUGACAUACACUUAUUAAGAUUCAAGAAAAAGAAUAAUUAGCUGCGGUACUUAAAAUAAGCCCUACUUUCUUAUUCCCGCAGCUUCUUGCAAAAAUUGUAAUAAAAAUAUAUUAAAUUACAGGUAAUUUACAGCAUUGCCAUAAGACGACGAGUGGAUGAUUCUAGGGUUAAUUGCAUCUCUGAAUAAAUAAGCUUCACCGGCGCACAUAACCAAGUUGGAACAUUCCGAAGAGCGCUCAAUUAGCUUUACAAGAAUUUUCCUCAUCACAUUUCAAUGUCUUCCAAAUCUGGCAGCGGGAAACGAAGAAUAGCAGCAAUUCCUGUUAUCUGCGCCAGCUCUAUUAGGGAGGGAGGAAAAAAGAAAAAAAUUAGUACUCAUGGAAAUGAAUAUGAAAAGAAGUAAUUAUUAUCGGUAGAAAACGAGAGGAAUAUGAAAUGAAUACUCACGCUCCCCAGAAACAUGCAUAGAAGAAAAUAUAUGCACCGUGCCACCAGAAUCCUUAACUGACUCUACCAAAUUGACGUACUUUUGCCGUGUAGCAACAUCCGAAUUUCUGAAGGUAAAAGUUAAUUCAUUCAAACUUUUCGCUUGAGUUCGCAAAAGAGAGUAAAGAGAGUAAUAUAGCAGUUUACAGUACCAACAGCAAAUAGCAGAAACAUAUAAACUACUGCAAAAUCAAUGCUUCCAAAUAUAUUACAUAAAUAACAGCAAUGAAUUAAUUGAAUAAUUUAAGUAAUAAUACAGAGUAUUUAGAGUUUUACAUGAGUAUAUUCCUUAAAAAAAAUCAUCUAGUAUGGAUCUGCUUGUAAAAUCUUACGCAUUGCUGCUGUUCCUUGCCAGGCGGCAGGCGUACAAUUUAUUAUUAGGGUAUAGUUGUUUUGCAGAGGGACAAUUUUCCAAGUAAAUAUAUAUAUAUGCACCAAAAUAAGUUUCAGAGAAUUACGUGAGAAUUCAGAUUUUGCAGAGAUGUAUUUGUGAAUAGAAUAUUUUCCUACAAGAGAAACCUACUCAAGAUUUCAAAAGUUUUCCAGCUUUAAAUUUAGUAGUCAAGAAGAAAUUUGGAUGAGUUUAGUAAUAGAUAUAAGAUUAUUUACGAUGCCAGAGCGAACUCCAGAUUCAAGUGGAGCAAAUUCCAUUUGAUACCAAAGGGAACUUCAUAGAUGUAUACGCUAUUUGAGAAAUCAAUGUUAGCUCGUGGGAUAUUAUAUGGAAGCAUGUAAAAUAAAAUGUGGAAUCAUGGAGGUUAAAACAAACCCUCACCUGAAGAGAGUAUCUAUUAUUAAAAGAGUUUGAAUAGCCAUCCUCUCAUGCGCAAUCUCGACAUGCCUAGGUCCGUAACAUGCACGAGCUGAGUCCUAUAGCAAAGCAAUUAAAAUAAAUUAUGAGAUAAAUGAUUCGACAAAUAAUUAAAAUAAUAAGAAAAUCAGUGUAUCCUACAAAGAUAAUAAUAAUAAUAAUAAUAAUAAUAAUAAUAAAAAUCAGCAUUCUCUGUAAAGUGCCUACUUAACAUAUCACUUCAAAUAACAAAAUAACCCCUUUUUUUUUCGUUUUCUGAUACUUUUCCUCUCGGUUUUCAAAAGGUUUUAAAGUAUAAAGACAAGCAAAGAAGAUAAGUGCCGUGACACGGUGUUGUGCCGGAAACUUGCCGGCACGGCGUCUGCCCGGUCGUGCCGAUUCGUGUUUGUCACAAAAAAUAUAUGUAUGCCGACACGUAAUGGCAUGAAAUAUUUAUUUUGCUUAGCAACAAAAUAUGUCAAUUAUUUAUUAUGUAUUUUUAUCAGACCUUUUGAACUUUAUUAAAAAAAUUACUUACUAAUUUCAAGAAUAAAGGGUUUUGAGUUGUGCCAUUGGCAUGGAGCUAUAUCGUGCUAAUAUCUUACUGGCACGAUACAGUAUGGUGGAUACGGUCCGUGCCGAUGGGCACUAAUCCUUGCCCAAAGGAAUCACUAAAUACAUCAUGGUCCUACACUUUCUAAACAGUUAAUCUAUGACGCACAUAAGUAGGCUGAAUUUAGACUAAAAUUUACUUGAAAGCAUAGAAACUUACAUUUGAAAGCAUAGUGAAGAAAUCUUUCAAAGCUUGGACCUGAAAUUAAGGUAGAAUAACAAAAGUGAGAGAAAUGAAACACAAAGCGCAUCAGAAUAAGGUUUUACAAGAGAGGCAUCCAUAGUUCCAUACUCAUGAAAAAUUGCACACUGCAGUAGGAAAAAUACGAAUGAUGUGGCCCCUAAUAUUACCUCCUUAGCUGCCUUUGUAUCUUUUAUCAAGGACAUUACACUUGGGGUAUCCAACACCUCCUUCAAACUGUGCCUAUGUUCAAGGAAAAUGAGAAGGUCAUUAAAAUAUUUGUAUAAUCCAAAAUAUUUAAUAAGAAUCAUCAAAAUGGUUCAACAAAAAUGAUACUAGUGGAGCUCACUUGUAACCAGAGGUUGAAUGUGCAAGAACUAUCCGUGAUUUGUUCUCAAUGAUUGACCUAAUUUCUCGCCGUUCCGCUUCCAAAAGUAAAUAAUCACGAAAUUGGUCCUGUUGAACAUUUAAAAGAAAAUAUGUAAGGAUACUGUGAAUGCAAAAAAAAAAAAACAAAAAACAUUAUGCCAACUUGCAAUCUCAUGUGAAUAGUCAAACCAAUCAUGAACCUAAAGCAAUUGGGAAGAUGAGUAACUAACAGCAGUUACAUAGUUGCUUGUAGCCAAGGAAAAGAAAAAGAAAGAUCUUUAUAAGAUAAGCUAAAGAAAAUAUAAACUGCAUUCGAAAACAAGGAUCGAUGAUAUAAAAUAAAAACAAAUUAACAGAUCAAACUUUCCAAAACAACUAGUUGCGCUCUGCAUGAAUGACUGCCUAUUCUAAAUUCUGGGCUGUGUAGAUUCCUUAGGUGUUAAAUUCCAAAUAAUUCAUACCCAUACCACCUAAACUACAAAAAGAAAAUUCCAAACGUAUUCUUAAUUGCUUGCUGAAGAAAGUAUGACAAAUCACCUUUCAUAAUUCGCAAUACUAAAAAUUGGCCAUACAUCCAGCAGUUUGUUACCAAGAAUAAUACGGCAACUCAUAGAAGGCAAUGGGUGCAUUAGCAAAUGUUGCGUUCUAUCCAAGUUACACAAUAAGAAUAUUUAUUUCUUGAGGGAAAUCUGAAUAUAGUUCAAUCAAAAUUAUCAUCAAAAAUGCCAAAAUUAACUUUUUAUUUCUGGUUUAGUUACUAUGAAGAGACAUGAUAAACCUAAGAUGAGAAUGAAACAAAAUAAAGAAAAAGUUGAUGAGUGUUUGUCAUUAAUUCAAAAUUGUACAAUUAAGAGACAUGGUAAAUCUCCCUGAUGGGAAUAAAGCAACAUUAAGCAACAGUAAUCAUAAAUUCAAUAACUAAAUAAGCUAAGCAAUGGAAAUUGUACUUCAAGAGUUGGAACUAACCUUGGUAAAUCCAGGGCUUGCAAUGACCACACAUUGAACAAUUUUAAAAUCGAUAUGCUUCACGACAGCCUGUGAAUGUGUAUCUUUUGUCAGGCCUCAAAAAAGAAAUUUGAAUGGAUUUUGCCGUACUUCUAUGAAAAUAUUUGUUUGCUGGAUAAACAGUGUAUUUUUCGUUUAAACUUACCUGUAAAACAUUCUCAAAGAACUUCUUCAGAGCCUGCCAAAUGAACAACAACAACUUAUUAACAGAUACAAUCAUUUAAAACAACACAUAUUAAGGUUGAAAUUAAACAUAACAUACCGAUUCAUAACCAGCAACCGCAGGCCCAUGUUUCCGAGGAAUAGAUGUUUCAAUACGAGAUCGGGUUGCUGUUAUGCUGUUUGAAGACAAGAAAUCAUCCAAUAAGUUAUAUGCUAUGAUAAUGCAACUAAAGGAUAUAGUCUAUAGCUAUCAAAACAAAUGAUGCGAAAAUGCCAUCAUUGAAUACUAUUCAAUCACUAUAUAUUGCCAACAUUAAGACGGAAAGCUCUAAUUAAUUAGAGAAUAACGAUCAAAAGAGAGAAAAAGAUCGAUUUCUGAAUAUUCCACUCAUGAUAUCAGAUAUUUAUAAUAUUAAGUACCUCUUGCCAACGAGAAGCAGAUGGGCUAGUCCUUCUUGCAUCAGAAUAACAGCCAGAUCAGCACUUGCAGCAGGAUCUGAAAAACAUCAAAUGAGAAAAUAAAAUUGUAGGUCCUGUUAAACUAAGGACAAAGGCAUUGAGCGUAAGAGAGCAGGAAAUUUGUCAUAGAAUAGCCAAUUUGCACCAAUGUCCUUAUUAGGCACUGUUUAGUUAUGGAAUAAAGCAGGGAUACUGUAGAUGACCCCAUCAAACCCCCAAAUAUAAUAGUGCCAUCAAAUAUCCCCCUGCUUGAAAUACUAGAGAGGGAAAUUGCCCCUUCAUACUGGCGAUAGCAAUUCCAUGGAGAAUGGUGGAAUUGCAACAUCCCCAUGUUAGGGCCCAGUCCCACCUGAUUCCCCCUAUUCCUGCCAACAGGUGAGAUAACAGCUAAACUGAAGUUCUUGUUUGAGAUAUUUCAAAUAUCCCCAGGAUGAAAGUCCUCAAAUCAAACACUGCAUUAAUAACUAGCCAUCAAAGGAAUAGGUUGAAUUGUGAUUUUCUGCUUAUGGGCAAGCAAAGUUAUUUGAUCACAUUUUAAAAAAACUAUGUAAACUUAAACUAUCUGAAGUAGAAGAGAAAAACAAUAGUUUUCAAGAGAUUAAUUGUGAAUGUAACAUACCACAUGCCUGCUGAAGAACAUCAAGCGCCAUCGAAUCCCAAACAUUCUACACAAGUAAACAACAAGAAUAUUUAUUAAGACAAUGUAGGCCAGUAUUCAACAAAGAAUAGAGAAGAACAGGCGCAUAAUGUUGAUUGUUGAGCUAAAUAAUCAUGUGAAGAAAUAACAGUCAUGGAAUUUUAUAGUUGUUCAGCACUUGACCACUAUGAUGGAGUAUUGGCUUGAGCAUCUAUAAUGAAACUCACCGUGUAGCUUAGAACAGAUCCAUUUUCCUUGCCAUCCCUCCCUCCACCCUUUUUCCAAAAAUAUAUUUUCUAUUUUUCUAUCCUUUUGGUGUUUAACAAUAUUGAUAUUCAUCUACAACCCUUUUCUUUCUUUUUUUUCAUGAAAAAACAAUUCCAUAUUUCAAUCUCUUGAUCUAAUCUACUAAGGUAUGACUUAGAAACUGCAACUAUUCCCUACAGGACCACUCGCAACUAUUCCCUACAGGACCAAUCGAACAAAUAGCUCCUCUUAAAUUUAAAACUUAUUUAGUCUGCUUGACUCCACAGAAAUUACUGUAUACAUCAAGCAAAAUCACAAAAAAGAAUUUGAAUUUCAAACAUAUUCCUUUUCACCCUAGGUGCUAAAAAAAUUCCUUGCUUUAGAAAUGAAUCAAAAAGGUUCAUUUGUAUAACCAAAAAAAUUUAAGAAAGAGAAGCUUCUAACUCAGCGCAUACCUUUCGUAGAACGAAAGGUCUAUGCGACUCGAUCUCUAAAGUAUGAAAUUGGCCAAUCUGCAUUUAAUAUAAAGAAAGCUAAUUAGCGCAUGUAUUUUCACACCAUAUAUGCUUCAGCUAUCAAAAAACUAACCUUCACAUGCUCGCUCUCUGUGAGAUUCUUGCCACGUAUACGCAAAACCGACCCCACCUUAUCAUAAUCAACAUCCUAAGAACAAGUGAAAGCCCGUGAGAAAACUAAAUCAUAAAGUUACGUGAGAGCAUAAGAUGCGAAAGGAGGAAUGAACCAGCAGCCAAAGAAUUAAAAAAUUAUUCUGCCACUAGAAAAUUCUGGAAAAAGCUUAUUUAUACAGAACAGACAAUAAUAUCAGCAAAAACACAUAUGGAGAACAUAAAAUCUUUUGUGUAUGUUAGAAAAGAAAGGAUAGAUUCUCCCCAAGUAGUUUACCACCACAGAGGAACAUGAGCAUCUGAGGUACUAAGCAUUAUAAGCAAACGGAAGAUAAAAACCUCGAAGAGAAAUAAAGAUGCGCAGAGAAGGAAUUUGAACAUCUAAACAAGAGAAAAGUAAAACCCACACCAAAUCUGUAGCGCCGGCAAUAAUUAAUUGAUACAGAUAUUCAGAACAAUCUUGUUAGAAAAUAGUUCGGAUUGUGUACAUCAAGACAAGUGGCAGUGAGUAUCAGAAUCAUAAUCUUUAUAGGAUAUGGCAUUUAGAUCAUAUCGAACAGCACGGAUCAUCAAUAAGAAAAACUAGUAUAAUAAUCUUCUAGUUCAACAGGCGCGCUCUGCAAACUCAAAAAACUUGAAAAGCUAUAUCACGUGUAGGCAUAGGUUAACCUUAUACCUCGACUUUGACUUCUAGCUUCAUCCUUACGCGUUCGGCAUCCCGGCCUCCGGAAACCAUCUCCCUUAGAACUUUUCUGUCAUAUACAUACAUACAUACAUAAAAAAAUCCACAAAACAUUAUCAAUGAGCUUAAAAAAUAAAAAUAAAAAAACAUCGACACGAUUACCUGACGGUUACUGCCUCGACAGUGUCGCCGACGGCGAUGAGAUUGUAGGCGUGCCACAUAUCGUCUUCUUCCUCCGGCACGAUCUGAUUAUUUACCCCAAAAAUUCAACAACAAUUACAGCAGCAGCAGCAGCAGCAGAAACCAAAAAACAAAAAAAACAAAAAAAACAAAAACCUAAAUUGGAAGAGAAAUUAUAGUGUGGAGAAGCUAGGUACCUUAACGGAGCCCGGGCCGCCGCGGAUUAAAUCACGGCGCACGAGCUUCAUUGCGGGAGGAAAAAUUCUGAGAUAAUGAUUGAAAUUGGGAUUAAAUCCAUUAAUUAACCAACAAAUUGAAAAAAAACAAAAAAAAGAAAGAAAGAAAGAAAGAAAGAAGAAGCAGAGAGGCUCACUGGAGAGGAGAGUCGAGGGGAGGAACGGAGAGGAGAGCUCAAGAGAAGCCGAAACACGACGGGGUGAGAGAGAGAGGAGAGAGAGAGAGAGAGAUCUUGAAAAAGUGUGCGUGUACGGUGAGAUUGAGAUUGGCUCGAAGUUAUAAUAUAAGCCCGAUCGGACCGGAUUGGUUCGAUUCGGAUUGAACCGACCGAAUCGGACUCGGACUAGGAAAGACCCGUCGCCCCGCUAACCUGCUAAAAAAAUGGAAAUAGUUGUAGAACUACAUAUAUAAGGUAAAAAUGUAUAGAGACUUGCUCAGCAAUAGAAUGUUUUGAAAUACGCUAUUGAACAAUAUUUUUUAACUUUUUUUUUUUUUUGUUUGAAACACCUCAAUUUUUUAUUUUUUUGGAAUUGAGUGAUUUUAGCUUAGUAAAUUGAAGGUUCUACAAAUUAUUAAUACUUUUAUUAAAUUUAAUAAUUUGAACUAUUUAUAGUGAAUAAAACUGGAUUGAUUAAUUGUUUAUAAAUCAUAACUAAUUGGGCCAUAAAAUUUAAUGAAGCUUUUAACUAUAAAAAUAAAUAAAUUAGAAGUUAAACAGGUUUCAAUAGAAAAAAAUUAAGUUGAGGGGUUUAUAGUUGGGGGCUCUAUACAGAGAGAGAGAGAGAGAGAGAGAGAGAACUUUUAAAACCUUUUAAACUGUUUAAUUCUAAAUUUUUUCAGCGAUGGGGGUACGAGAGAAUACACAAUAUGUACCAUCAAAUAUGAUUAAAGCUAUUUAAUUUUUUUUAAUUAAAUUUAUAAUAUUUCGAUGUUAUUUACCUAGUGAUCAAAUGGUUUUAAAUUUACUUUACACCAGCCAUUAAAAGUUGUCAAUUUUGAAUCUAUUUGAAUACUAGCUAGGCAAAUUAUGUCAUAAAAUUGCAAAAUUGAAACAUAUAUAAAAAGUUCAAGUAAUGUUAAAUAAAUAGAGAAUGAAAAUGAUAUGUUAAUUAUGCGUUAACAUAAACUUUGGUAGCUAACAUCUGUGCCCUCAAUAUUAUAUAUACAUCUCCGAACCUCACUUUAAUUGCGAAGUUUAAAAAUAACAACAACAAUUUCAUGAAAGCAAAAAUAAAUAAGUAACAUAUAAAUAAACAAAUGCACUUCAGGUCUUGUAAUAUGCAAUUCUCAAUCACAAUAGGGAGAAUAACAAGAACUGAAAAAUCAUUGUGGUUUUAAUUAAAAAGUACAGGCCAACUCCAUUUGAAUUUGCAACAAAGGGUAAAUAAAAUCCUAUCGGAAUGAUCGCCAGUCGAUGCGAUACAUCGUAAAGAAAAUUUUGUGGUGUUGAUCAAGAGGGCGACGGCCAGUCCUUUCUGAUCUCGAAGUAGUAACUCAAAUCCAGAUAGCACUUUCCGUCAUCGUCCACAAACUGAAAAACAAAACUAGAAAUUUUACAACCAUGAUGGUACUACGUACUAGAAUUGCGAUCGAAAUAAACUGUUAACAAGUAGUAUUCGCGGAAUAUAGUAAAUUUUACCUUUGUUCUUGCUGAAUAAGAUCCUCUAGCAAACAUACCAGAUGGAGUGGUCUCUUCCUCCAAUUCAUAAGUAUAAGGCUCUUUCUGAGGACUAAAGGUGCCCAACAUUACCUUGGUGUUCUCCACUGCACAAAAAAAAAGAUUAAAACAUAUAUUUUUAGUGGUGAUUAAAAUAAUAAAAAGAAACCAUGCCUAAUCAAUCAAUCUUGAGCCAGAUAAUUAAGUUUGAUUUUGCAUCUACUUCUAAAUUUGAAUCUAGUCCAAGAUUGCAGAUCUAGUUAGGUCAACCGAAGAAAUGAUAAAUCCAGACCCAGUCAAUUUUGAGGCCCGGAUAGAGCAGAAAUUUACUUUUCCUGAUCGAAGAAUGCGAAAGAAAGGUAUGUUUUACCUCGCACUCCGGUCUUCCAAACUGUGUUUGUGUAUCUUAGGCCCGAGACAAUGUUGUUGAAGACGGUGAAUGAGAACUUGAGACGGUAGCGGCUCCCGUCUUUGAGCGCGAACGCAUAGCCUUUCGCGUCUGGGACGAAAGGGAUCGGUAGGACGAGAUCCGCGCGAUCGGGUGUUAUGAUAGUAAGGUCCAGAAUCUUUACUUCUGGGUCUGAUAUCUCUGUUAAUCAUCUCAUCAGACAAAUCACAGCUAUUUCUGUUAGUGGUACAGCACCAGUUCAUGAUCAAACUCCUCUAAUGCUAGUACUGGAAAAUCUUUUACAAUAAUGGGAAUAUUUUAUAUGAGGAGAAAGAUAGAGAAUAUAUAUAUGGGAAAAUUUUCAUGUCUAAUAGGAAUUAAAUCGAGGAGUGAAAUUAAAGAUAAAAUAUUGGAUGAGUUUCAAAGAUGCGGUACCUCCAACUUCAUUUAAGUCCACACUCCCAAGGAGCUGCUCCUUCCACCUCGUCAGACUCUCAUCAUCCUGUUAAAAAUUAACAAUUUAUUCUAAUAUCGUUUUAUAAAUUGUAAUUGUCUAAAAGUAUAAUACUAAUUUAGAUAAUUUUCUAUCAUUUAAUUUAACGUUGUAAUUUUGACUAACACCAUUAAAAAUUAGUGUGCGUUUUCCAUAUAAUACACUAAUAUGACAAAUGUGUAAAUUUCGAUGCAACUGAUACAUUUAAAAAUCAUCUCAAUCAGAACGUACAUUAUACAUCUCACAUAUUCAAUGGGUGUGAUAUUUUUACUAGUCAGUAACAGAUGAAUGACUUUCGUCCAUUAAAUGGAUAGUGUAAAAUAUACACUUACUUUUAUGCGUAUGAAUAGCACUGCUCUUAUGAAAAUGUGUUAUGCGGGCGUACCUUAUCCAUCUCAAGCUGCUCCUUGAGCGGGACCUGCGGGCCGAGCAGCACAGCCUGCUUCUCCUCGUCACCGUCGUCGUCGCUGCCGUCGUCGUCAUUCAUAUCGGUCGAGCUCACCGAGGCGCAGCUGAAUUUCCUGCUCAGCUUCUCCUCGCCGUCGGACCCGCCGUGCUCCUCCUCGUCCUCCUUGCGCUGAUCCACCGGUUUCUCCAUCUCCCGAGCUCGUAAAAUUAGCAACAAAACAAAUGGCUUUGAAAAGGAAUAGAGGUUUAACUCUUUUUUUUUUCCUUUUUUUUUUUGGGGUGGGGAGGGGGAGGGAGAGACUCUUCAAGUUCCUCUCCCCUUUUUNCAGCGAGUCGGGUUGCGCCACGUGGAGGAGAGACCUGCGUUUAACUAACUCUGGGAUUUAAUUCAGUUGUGGGGAGAGCUGAUUUUGAGGGGGACACGUGGUGGGCCGUGUAGCCGUGUGUGGCCCACUACAUUUAUACGGAAUGAAGCGGGUUCGUACACUUUAUUAGUCAUUUGGCUUAAUUAGUAAUAAUAAUAAUGAUUAAUGAUGAUGGUGAUUGGUAGAUUAUCUUGUGGCCAUGACACUGUCUCUCAGAUUGCAUCAAUCUUGCAAGUAGGGAUGUCAAUGGUAUGGGUGCCAGAAAUUUAUCCGAAUCGAAAUCCGAACAGAACGAAUUUAUUCGAUACUAAGCGGAUAUAAUUUCGAAUAUAAAUAUUGAAAAUGAAAACCUAAUGAAUAUGUAUUAAGAUAUGAAUUUUGACUAUAUCCAAUCCGAACCCGAAUCCGAACCUAAAUUUAUUUUGCAUCAUAUGUAAUAUGUAUAUAAAAAUUUGAUGUUAUAUUUGAAUUUAUAUUUUAAAAAUUUAGAUUUAAUGUAAUAUAUUUUGAAGUAUUAAAAAGAGAAAUAAUUGUUUCGGAUUUGGAUUUUCAGGUUCGAGUUCGGGUUCGUUUUCGGAUUUUUAGUCGGGUUCGGGUUUGGAUAUGAAUUUUUAAAAUCUGUCGGGUAUGAGUUCGAGUUCAGAUUUUGGGUUUGGAGUCAGGUUCGAGUUCUGAUUUUAAAAAUUUGCACCGAAUCCAACCGGUUGACAUCCCUACUUGCAAGGGAGAUACUUGGGUGAUUCUACCAUCCAUGCUCGAAUCUAUAAAUAAGUAGAUAAUUGAUCGAAUAAUUCUAGUCAAUUCUACCUCAGAUGGAUGGCGAGAUUGAUCAUGUUGAAUUAUUGAUGUAUUGAUAAAUUUAUGUGAAGUUAUGAAUUGCGUGUAUAUACUAAUCAAAAUAAUUCUAAAUUUUGCUUCAAUUAGAGGCUGAAUCUAGCUGUAUUUAGAUUGGGUCGUCCCAAAAUCAAGUCAGACACGAAGUAAUUUUUCAACUUCAAAUUGAGUUUUAACACUGAAUACCUGAUUCGAGCCAACUAAAAGUUGAACCCUUUUUAUUUAGAUUUAAUAUAAUAUAUUUUGAAAUAUUAAAAAGAGAAAUAAUUAUUUCGGGUUUGGAUUUUCGGGUUCGAGUUCGGGUUCGGUUUCGAAUUUUUGGUCGGGUUCAGGCUUGAAUAUGAAUUUUUAAAUCCGUCGGGUAUGAGUUCGGGUUUGGAUUUUCGGUUUGGAGUCAGGUUUGGUUCGGAUUUUAAAAAUUCGCACCGAAUCCAACCCGUUAACAUCCCUACUUGCAAGGAAGAUGCUGGGUGUGAUUCUGCUAUCCACGCUCGAAUCUAUAAAAUACAUUGAUAAUUGAUCUAAUAAUUGUCAUCAAUUCUACCUCACAUGGAUGGCGAGAUUGAUCAUAUUAAAUUAUUGAUGUAUUGACAAAUUUAUAUGAAGUCGUGAACUGCGCGUAUAUGCUAAUCAAAAUAAUUCUGAAUUUUGCUUCAAUUAGAGGCUAAAUCUAGCUGGAUUCAGAUCGGAUCAUCCCAAAAUCAAGUCGGGCGCGAAGUAAUUUUUCAACUUCAAAUCGAGUUUUAACCCUGAAUUGAAUACCUGAUUCGAGUCAACAUAAUAAUUACUGCCAUGGAUCAACAAGAAUACAGAAAUUAUAUACCUUCACUUCUAAUUUUCCUUGGCACUUUUGAACCAUGAGAUGAGAUAACACCACAUCAUCAUCACUAGCAGAUGAAAACAUAAUAUGAUUUAUAAACAAAAACAUAAUAUGAUUUACAAUUGUUUAAUUAUUUUUUAAUUAAAAUAAUCAUGGUAGCAAAACCUAAUAAAGUUAUACACAAGAUAUAGACAGAGAAGCAAAGCUAAAGCUGGAGGUGAUAGCACGCAGUGGAAAUUUCAGUAAAGCAUAUGUAAAUCCAAUUUUUAAAUUUCAAAACGAAUCGAGUUAUUGCACACCUUUUGAAUUUGCUUUGACCUUCACCAAUUAGAUCGUUCACCAAUAGUAAUUUUUAUUUAUACAUUAAUGUAUAGGUAAUAUAACAUGCAAAUCGAGUUAUAUAAUACGUGAUAUUUGUGCAUUGAAAUAAGAAUAAGCAAAGAAUAGGGAAGAUCAAAAGUAAGUAAAUUGGACAAAUUUAUAUAUAUCUUGUAUUUUUUCAUUUUAAAGCAUUUGAUUUUAAGGAAAUCACCGCAGUAGAAAUUUUUACCUUGAACGCUCUCUGGCUGUGGUCUAGCAUAUUUUUGUUGUCCGAUGACAAAUCAGAUGCAAAUAUUGAGAGGUCUCACACAAAUUGUAGGAUGAAGUAAUAAACUAAAGCAAUUCAAUUACUCAUAUCGUACAUUUUUUGCUCAAAUUGUAAGUGAUGAUUCAGGUAAAGUUCAAGUGGUUUCAAGACAUUCUUGUGUUAAAUAUGAAUACCCACCCAUUGACUUCAUUAUACAUUAUAUACCAUAUAUAAUAUAGAUUGUAUAAAUAUAAAUUAUGAGUCGAGACUAAUCAAGUCCCGAAUCGAACCUAGGGCAUGUUUGGUUCCUCCAGACUAAAGAUAGACGUACAUGUCGAGUGCGCUGAACUUGAAAGAAUCGUUAUUUUGACUGUGUGAUUGGAUUCAGUAUUUUAUUUCGACUCACACCGACAAUUUUAUAUACGAGAAACCGAAUUUUGAUAUGCUGCAAAGUUGCGUCAAGUUGUUGUUACUCACGAGAGUUCCAACAAAACGAACAGACUCAAAUUCGAAAUAAAGUCUGAAUUGCUCGAUUCAAUUGUGAGGUCUCUUCUUGUCUUCUUAUAUAAUAAUAAUAACAAUCUGAAAAGGAAGAAAAUUCAGAUCAAUAGAGCCAGACCCAGACCAGGUCCUGACCCAAACUCUUGCCGACCAUAUCUAUUUUCCUAAUUAUUCUCCCCGAGCCCGUUCUUCAAAGAGAAUCUUCUAGGGCUAACGAUCACCGGCGACGGCGACGGCGGCGGCGGCGGCCGGAGGCGGCGGAGGCGCAUUCGAGGUCCGAUCGGCUUACUUGCUUUCCCUCUCUUACUCCUCUCUUCGUUUCCGCAUCGAAUUCCCUUCCCUUCUCAUUUAGAUCUGAAAACUUGUUAGGGAUGAAGAAAACAAAGCCCUAAGUUACUUUGAUGAAUUGGAUCAGGAAAAAAAAAAUUGAUCAUCUGAACUGUUAGAUGUAUAGUGGUGGUGCUUCUUGUAGUUUCUUUUUUUAAUGGAAUAAAAUGAUUGAAUAGGUCUAUCAUUUUGGUUCUUUUACUGGAAAACCUUCCAUUGUUGUUUGCUUUUUUAAUUUGCAGCUUUUAUUUGCAUAGUGUAUUUGAUGCCAUGGAUCUCACAGAGCAAUGAUGAGGUCUUUCUUUUUUCGGUAAAAAUUGUGGACUUUAUAUGAACUGUACCUCAUUUUGAUAUCAGUACUUGAAACUUUUAAAAGUUUUGAUUUUUACUAUCUAAUCUUAUACAAUAUUUGAUUUAAGUGCGUUUCUAUCAGAAAUUAAUAGCUUUUCCGAUGAAACAUGUUGGAACCUGAUGAAUGUUGUGUUAUUUGAUGAAAUAUUCUUUGAUUAAUGUAAUGAGAACCGUUACAUUCUGGUGGAAAUUGGUCAUAAGAAGAAGGAAGCAACCUACGUGUUCUUGAUCUUUAUGAAUUUUUAGAUGCCACUGUCACAUUGUCAAGUUAGUUGGUUGCAAAUGCAAAUUUAACAUCGUUGAUAUAUUCUGCAAGCAUGCAUAUACAUUAAGUGAAAGAGACGGAUAUAACACAAUUGGCGUUUAAGAUGCAUUUCUGACGGCUCUUAUUAUCUCGUUAUUGCCCAUAGAGUCCAAAAAUGUGUGGCCAUGUUUUAUAAAUAUCAUAGCUUUUCUAUUCCUUUCCACUUACAGCCGACAAACUUAUGCACUCUCUCAAGUUGAUCUCUCUCACUCCUAAGCUUUAUUAGUUUGCCGUGUGUAGAAACACUCACACAAUAUAUAUAUAUAUAUAUAUAUAUAUAUUUGGUUAAGCUUCCUAGCUUUCCCUAUGUGUCAACUUGUUUGUUGUGUAAACAUUAUAUGUUUUGAGUGACCUUCCGUACAGGUUGGAGUUCAAAUAAUAUUGUUUAUGUUUAAUGCGGCUGCUGACAUGCUUUUAAUUUUAAAAUUAGGCUUGUUCGACUUGAUGGGAACCUGCUGUUAAGAUGAAAAAGAUUGAGGAUGGCCUGAGAUGUGAUCUUUGAAUAGCUAAAGAAACAGAUACUGCCUGAUAUUUCUACCAUGCAAUUAGAUUCCCCAGUGGAUAUGGAACUGCAAAUUACUCCUGCGGAGAAUGUUUUGGUGAAAGAGGUGGAAUUAUCUUUUACUCCACCCGUUUCUGCGACUGUUCAUCCCCAGAAGCCUGGUGGGAUUUACUGCUUCUUUUGUAUCAAUUAAGUUGUCUUCUUUCAUUGUAGUGGAUAUCAUGCAAACAUAUUGCUAUGUCCUUUUAUUAUUUACAAAAUAAUAAUUCUCUUCAUGUUGUCCUUGUUUAUUUUAUUUAGCCAAAAGACCAACACGACAAUGGGCUGCUUGGACACGUCAAGAGGAAGAAAACUUCUUCAAUGCAUUAAGACAAGUUGGAAAGGUUUCGUACCUUUUGCAUUUACUGCAUAACUCUUUUCUUUGUGAGUCUAACUGUUGUCAAUUGUACAUGUUACUUUUUUUAAUGUCUAGAACUUCGAGAAGAUCACAUGCCGGGUCCAAAGCAAGAAUAAGGAUCAGGUAUAUACUUGUUCUAACAAGAUGAGGCCAUUAUAGUGAUAUUUUACAUGAUAGCGUUUGAUUAGCAUUAGAGUGUAUUUUCUUGAAGCUACUUUUUUAACCCUUUUGUCCAUCUUAUAUAUUUUAGCUUUUCUUUGGUUGUGUUAUGACUGGUGCUUGCUCAUCAGAAAAUUGUGUAAUUGUAUUAUUCUCUGGGUAUUGUGAAUCCCAAAUCAUUUUCAAGUAAUUCUGGUAAAAUUAGUGAAAAUUUCCACCAAUGAAGGACCAGAAUGAGUGAAGACGAGUGUUCAAUGAGAUUUUAAGUUUUUUGUUUAUUUUUUAAUCAAGAUUUCAAAGAUGCUCAAUCUCUGUGUCAAGGCAUGGUAAAAUGUGCUAGGAUAGGCUUUCUUGCCAUUUGGCGGCUGCUUUCUUGGUUGAUUUGUUGUAAUUCCCAUAAAGCAAAAUGUUUCUUUUGUUUUGCUCUAUUAAAAAUGUCCAACUGAAAUUUUGUGAGAUAGUUUGGUAGUAGAAAAAGAAGAAGGUCCAAUAAUCUUACUUUUGCUUUUGAAUUCAUAGACAAAUGGAUUAAUUUUUUUACUAAGGCUUGGAUGCAAUUUCAAUCAUCACAUUUUUUAUAUAUUUCAUGCUCAUAGAUGUGAAACAUAUAAAGCCACAAAUGCACAAAAUUUCAUGAUAAGUUCUGGUUGUACAGUUGUUCAUAACUAGGUUUAUAUUCACUGCUUGCCGGUGCUUAUCACUUCUUAUAAUACACUAUCUACCCAUUGAAGUAGUGAGCUGCUUCAUUUUUUAUACUAUUGUACAAUAUUAUGAAUCGAUAUUUUUUUUAUUUAAGAAUUCCUUUUUCUUUGAGGAAAAAUUGAGAAACAUGAUUAUUUGAAAGGAUUUUUGUGCUUUUGGUAUGAGGUCGCAAUAUCCACAUUGACAUGCAGGUUAGGCAUUAUUACUAUCGCCUUGUGAGACGCAUGAACAAGCUUCUUGGUCCUGGGCUUUAUCUUGAUGCGAGAAACUCUAAGGAUACCAUUGCUGCUAUGCUUAGAUGGUAAUUCCAUAUUAAUGUGUUUGAUUAUCUUACUAGACUUUCAUUAUGGUUGAUAGAUUAGUUUCUUUUCGGCAUAUCUAUAUCCCUGGGUAGUUUUCUAAUAGGGUUGAGAUUGUCUGGUGCUUUCAUAUAUUAAGUUGGGAUGGUCACUUUUAUCUUUCUUUGAUGUGAUUGAUGUAAGAGGUCUUUUUCCAUGACAUUUCUAGUUAACUGUUAUGAACAAUUAUCUCCAGUAGUUAACUCAUGCCCGUCCGGAUGAUAGAGUUAUAAACCUUGUAGAAGAGUCAUAACCAUUGUGCUUAAAUUUCUGAUAUCAGUUUUCUUUUCCUUUUCUUUUUGAAAAUUAUUUUGGAGCAUUUUCUUCUGUUAAUGCUUGUCUGCCACUAAGUCAUCAAAUAAUCAAGUAAUAUCCUAUAAUGUUGGAUGUACUAAGACAGAGACAUCAACUUUAAUUUCCUUAUAUUUUUAUUUUUCUUAUUUCUACAUCGUCAAGGGGGGAAAAAAAAAGAGAAAUAAUAUAUAAAUGUUGAUGGUUUUACUGCAGGUGGUCUUUACUUGAGAAAUUUAGUUGCACUGCAUCAAAAUUGCAUUUGAAGCCUCGAAGGUUUAAAAUAUUUAUAGAGGCACUGGUAAGUUCAUUGUUCCUCGUCUCUUCCAAUUAAUUUCUCUGUAUUUGACACCUAAAUAAACGAGAAUUUGUGAGCUAUGUUGUUUUCUAGCAUUUAGUUAUAUUGUGCUUUAUAGGAAAAUCAACUAUUAAAGGAUCGCAAUAAGACUAGAAGAAAACGUCCACAGGAAGAUAUUUACUUAACUCCUACAUCACCGAUACUCACUGAUGGUCACCCAGUAAAAUUGCUUGCUGUUGACACGCAAAACAUUAACUUAAUGGGAUCGACUAAAGGGGCAUUUUUCAAGCGUAAUGCGGAUGCUAACACUAACUUCAAGCUAAAAGCUACCAAAGGAGACCUCUCUACGACAAGAACUGUUAAGCAGAAACGCAGAGCAGGUAUUUUUCAUACUCCAGUAAUUCCUGGUGGAAAUUAUGAUGUGCUGUUGUUUAGAAAAAGUUGCAGAAGCAUUUUGGUCUUAGAUGGUCCUUAAUCACAUCUGGCUGCAUUGCUUACUAGAAUAUUCCAUAGCAUUGCAGAAUUGUACUAUGUAUCAUUAGGCAUUGAAUUGGUUCAAAUAGUGAAUGCUUUUAUAUAUAAAUCUCUGUGAAAUCAUCUGUUUACAAAUAUACGUUUGUUAAUGUUGCAUAAGUAUGAAGAAUACUGUUAUUUUAUUAUUGGAGCUAAUCUGAUUCAUGGGUGUUAGUUGGUUUUGUAAGAAAUCUAGUUUUUGAAGGGAAUACAAGUAAAUUCAGAUUUUGCAAGGAUAUGUGUCUAAACGGAAAACUUCUUGAGGGUUACAUAUAUAAUCAUUUUUACUUGUUACUUCAUGUCUGAAUUGGUUGUCUAGGAGGUGUUGUUGCAUCUUCUGCAUACAGAAGAUGGGAAAAAGCAGCGAUCGCUGGUGUUUCUUUAGUUGCUGACGCUGCUGAGCAACUGGAACGCUCCACCAUUAGCCAGAACUCUUCUGUUAAUGCUGGAACCUUCAAUGCAUUGCCACAUGAGACGUACUCUGACAAAGGUAAGGUUUUUAUUGGAUUUUCAUUAUAAUUUAUGAGCAUAAUAAACCUUGUUUUCACUUGGCCUAUGAAAUAAUGCUGAUAAUGUACAAUUAAUGCAAACUCUUUAUCCUCUAAUGCAUCACUAGGGAUAUGCUCUACUCAGAAUCUCAACGAAGCAACUAUACAGCCAUUUGUAAAAUUAAAGUUGCAGUUAUUUCCUAUAAGCGAAGCCAUCCGCAAGGCGCUAGAGAAGGUAUUAUUGAAAUCGAUGAUUUUCUGCUUGUUUGGACCUCGAAAUCUGUACAACUUUUCUCUCUUCUGCAGAUCUUAUUUAUUUGAAUGAGCACUGAUUAUUUAGUGGUAUUAUGUUGUUUUCAUGCACAAUAGGAUGCACAUAAUCCACAUCUAGAACUCACUUUAAGUGCUCGCAAGAGAAUAGCAUCAGUGCUAGACCACCUCAGUCGGAAAUGGGGCAGCUCGAGUGUGGCAUCAGGAGAACUCAUGCUUUUCCCUUAUAAUGCUCAUCAAGAAGAUUUAGCAAGUUACCCUAGGUGGACAAUGAAGGAUACUGUUGUGGCCGCUGAUGUGUUCAUUUCUGUUGGUAGUCCUGCCACGUUCCGUUUAAGGUAAGCAUUUAAGUUCAUGCAUUUUGGAAUAUGGAGCUUUUACAUCUAUACGUAUACAUAUAGAUAGAUAUGUCUUUGUGAAAUCAUCUAUAAGCCCAUGUUCUUAAUUUUCAUAUAUCCCUUGAAUCUUUUGUCUACAAAUACACCCUUAUCUUGAGUUGGGAAUCGUCCAAUUCAUAGUAGAAUAGUUGGCUUUGUAUUAGAAAAAGUUGCCGAAAGAGGCAUUGUGUAAAGACAUACAUGGAUAUUUUGCAGGGAUAUGCCAUCAUUUUGCAAAGCACAUGUAAUAGCCUCUUGAAGCUUUUAUCCACUCGUCAAUACUUGCUAUAAUUGUACUGCUAAAAUUCUUUCAACUGUAAUUCCUUAUGAAGGUAUGGUUGGUUUUCUACGGCUGACCUUGACAACUUCAUGGUCACGAAAGGCAAGGAGACUGGAUGUAUCUUGAAGGAUAAUCUCGAUGUGAACAAAGUCGGUACCAUGCGUGUGGAUGAAACCUCUGAACAACCAUCAGAUCACAUGGAGGAUCAGUCAACCUCAGCAGUAGUUCUUCCACCCUCCAAAACACCUUCAUCGCAGGUUGGAGUAGAAAAUAGAGAACAAAUUUCUGGACAACAAGAUAACGUCUUGGUAUUCCUCUUUCCCUACUUAAACUAGUCAACAAACAGAGUUUCAUGUACAUGAGGUUCAUAGUUGAUUCAUGCUCUAAAUUUCAUGAUUCAUAUAUAUCCAAUAAAAAAAAAGGUGUUUUUUUUUGUGAUGAAUUUUUCGUUGGGCAUUGAUUUCUUGAUGAGAUUACUAAGUUUUUUGUCAACUUGUUGUUUUAUCUGUAUGUUUUAUCAAGUUUUAUAUAAAUUAUCCCAUUGAUAUGUAGGUCAAUAAAGGAGCAAAAUGCUCCGCACUAUCUGCUGGGGAGUGGGCAGAUAGUCUCAUCAGUGUAGGAGAUUUACUAUCUGAAGCAUCGAGAGCUGCUGCUGUUGCUAAUUCAGAUUGCAAUGACGAGACCUCACGCAGCUGCGAUUCAUUUGAUGCUGCUAUCGCUGCGCAUAUCUCUGCUCAUCAAUCUACUAACUCAUCCCCUGAGAUACCCAUAUCAUCUAUCUUGGGUGCGGAAGAAACUUGUGAUGCGUUCUCCUUCCGAAGGGUGCCAACCCCAAAGCAAGAAGUUUUAAACCCUUCUUCAAGUUCUUUGGGGUUUAAGGAUUUUCUUCAGGUUCACUAAAUUUGAACUCAUCCUGGUUCUUCAACAAUAAAAGUUGUUUAUUUGAGUUGACUGGAAAUGAUGAAAAAUUUGCACCUUUUGUCAGGACUCUGCUGGAGCCUUGCCUAGUGAUGAUCUAAACAGUAGCGAGCGUUUGUUCAGCGAGGACUUAAUGGACAAUAACAAUGAUAGCCCUUCAAAGGAUCCGUGUAUAACAGAAAUUUUCUGGGUAUUCAACAAUCACCUUUUCCUCAUAUUUGCACUCCUUUUCUGUGAGAUUGGAUAAUUGCACCGUUGGUCUGUGACCGUUUAGCUAAGUUUUCAUGUCAGUCUCCUACCUUUUAAUUUCUACACUUAGGUCCUGAGCAUUUAUUACUUGGUUCAGUUUAAGUCCCGUCCGUCAAAAAAUCUGUAAAUUUGGACAAAAGUUGUCACUUGGUAAGGUUUAAUGCAGAUGCUGCAAACAUGAUUCGAUCUUGACGUAGCGAUUUGCAUUCAAGUUAACAAAUUUUUUAACUGAUGGGAUUUGACUGAAACAAGUAGCAUAUGUUUGGGACCUAAUUGCAAAUACUAGUAGAUUGAGUACCAAAGUAAAAACUGAGUUACGGAAUGGGGACCAAAUGGUGUAAUUAACCCCUACUAGUUUGCUAGUAUUUCUUGUAGCUGAUGAGAACCUCUCUUUUAUACGCUCAGCCUGAUUCACUUGGACCGUUGGACUUGGAAGCGCCUUUCAAAUACCAGGUUCAUGACUUGGUCUUUGGCGAUAGCCUCAGUAGUCUGAGUCGCAUCAUGGCGAGUAGCUUAGAUGCAUUCCGGAAUUUGUCGUUCUUUGGCACGGACAAGAAUGACCGGGAGAGAGAAGAGACUUGCAAGGAUUAAGCAAAUUUGGAGGGAGAUUACAUAAUCCACUCGUGGUGGAGCGAGAAAGUGAAGCCCAUGACAACAAUCAACGUGUCGACUCGCAAAAGGUCGUCGUUAUUCUCAUGUAUAGAUGAACUGAUCCAGGAUAGUGCAAACAAAUCAGUCGGUUUGUUCUUGUUUGUCUGUACAUUAAGUGAGAAAUAUAGGCUGCUGUAGACACAUCAUAGAGAGAAACAAAGAGAUUCAACCAGAAUCUGCUGGUAGAAUCUUGUAUAAUGUAAAAACUCUUGCCUCUUUUGAUAAUCUUGUAUAGAAAAGCACUCUUUAUGACAGUGAAGUUUGUUACUCUCAUGAUAAGGUUACAGGCGUAAAAUACAACUUCCGAAGAUAUAUGCAUAGAUGCAUAACACCCCUGUUUUGAGGAAUACAUAAAAUUCUUUCUUUAAAAUAUAAAUUGGAGUUUGAUGCAUUCAAAGCAAGAGCAAAAAGCAAUACCCAACUAGGCUUUAAUAAGUAACUUCCCCAGCAACUCUUUUUGAAUGCCACCGACGUAGAACCUGUUGUUUGGAGUCCUUGGUAUGGGCAUUUUAAACCCACCCAAUACAUGUUGAAUCUCUUUAAGAAUUAUUAUAAUAUUAUUAUGCAUGGCUAUGUCAGAAACAAAACAAUAAUAAAGGAUUGAAAAUGACCAGAAUAAACAUAACCAGAAAGAGAGAAGAAAAGAAAAGAAAAGAAAAGAAAAACUAUUUCUAUAAACAGAAUAAAAGGCUGUCUCUUUCAUUACUUAUCAGAAAGUGAGUUGGUCCAUAUUUGUCAAAAUUAUCCUUUUGAUUAGAUAACCUCCUGAAUCUUACCCCAUACCCUACAUUAUUUUGCAUUUUGUGGAUAAGAUGAUGUAAUUGACUCCGACAUAUUGAUUUCACAACUGCUCUUCCAUGCCAUGUUAAGCGUGCAAAUGAAAUUAGAACCAUGACCAUCCAUUAAAUAGUGCAAUGAAUAGUAUCAUGAUCUCAGCAUGGUGUCAACAAGAACUCUCAGGAUAAAUUGUUAGUUACACCUGGUACACCACACUAGCUGUGCACCACCCAAUGAGAGGCCGUAGUACAUUCCCUCGUUAACUUUUUAAUUUUCACCGCACAGUAAGUUGCUAUAGUUUUCUAAUUCAAAUUUCUUUUUUUAUUUUUACACUAGUGAGUCUGAUGAUUAGGUCUAAGUUUAAAGAGACAGCAUGAAGUUAUAAAUUCGGUAUUUGGAUUAAAUUCAUCGAGAAUAAAUGAUAGUUUAAAAGUACAAAGAAUUUGAUGAAUAAUAAAGUAACAAAAGUUAAGAAUAUAACAGUGUGUCAAACAAUCAAAUUACUUGAUUCGCUUAUAAGUCAUUCAUAGCUCUCUCUCUCUCUCUCUAAUUGGAUAAGUAACAAUCAAAUUACUUGAUUCGCUUAUAAGUCAUUCAUAGCUCUCUCUCUCUCUCUCUCUAAUUGGAUAAGUAUUAACACGACAAUCAACUCCUGAUCUAUUCACAAUUUUGCUAUUAUUUUAAAUUGUAUAAAAUAUGAAUUUUAAAAGCAAGUCAUAUUCAGGUUUUAAGUAUUUCACAUAGUAGCUGAAAUAUAAAAUUAUUAUAUCAAAUAGUAGACACCGGCAUCUUUCAAGCAACUUAAAAAUCAAAAUUUUUAAUUUAUUAUCAAACCAAAAAAAAAUAAAAUUUAUAAAAUAAUAUAUAAAUUAUCUCGAAUAAGUUAUUCUGAUAUUCAAUUAUGAUUUUAUAUUGCAGAAUCAACCCGAAUAUUUUUGGACAGUAACAGGAAUGAUAAUGUGUAUGAAUUGAAUUGGAUUGCAAAGUAAUUGUGAAUGCAAUAAUUUUGUGAGAAUUCCAACCACCAAUCAAAUUAAGGAGAGGUGCAUUGAAGGUCGUGGGCGCCACGUGUGAGACGGCCAUUGGCUGGUCGUUUUGACAGGUGGCGUAUUAGUUAGGCUCCCGACCUAACACUCCCUCGCUUUUAAUUUUCUUUUUCUGAAUUAAUUUUUUUUUCUAAUCUUUAUUUGAAUUAUUACUUUGAAAUUAUUGACUCCUCCGUCGCAAUGUAUUAAUUGCUCUCGUCUCGUCUCCUUCAGGUGAAAAAAUGUAUGGAAACCCCUCCACCUAUUGGUUAUUUGAGAAAUCAGUGUCAAAACUAUUUGUUUAAAUUAAAUUUAUUUAAAAACUAAGUAACUUUAGCCCAAUAAAUUACAAAUUUUACCAAAUUGAUUACAGUCCAAUAAAGCUGGACUAGUUAAGUACUAAUAGCAAAUUGAGCUAUAAAAAGUUAUUUAACUAUGUAAAUUUAAAUUAAGAAAAUUAGUAUAAAGAAAAAAAAAAAAGUUGAGGAACCUUUUUCAGAGGAGCCUAUAGUUGAGUGGGUCUCCGUACAUUUUGUACCUCUGCGACGCUCUACAUCGUUCGCAAGUGGUGGGCCCCAUUCCGACUUUCCAAGUGUCGAACGUGGGAAUUUUUUAUUUUUUCUGAAUUUUUUUAAUUGUGGAAAGGCGAAAAGGACGUGCCAAGUCAACUGGUGGGCCCCACAUUCUAACGGUCACCCGCCACAUCAGUUGAUGAGCGCCUUCCACGUCAGCAUAAUAAUAAUAAAAAAAACUAUAAUACUUGCUCUAUUCAUUAAUAAAAAUAACAAUAAUUAUCGAGUCAAUACUAGAAAAGCUAAGAACAUAGCUGGAUUCUGAAAGUUUAGUAAACAAAAUUGUAAUACUACGUAUUAAAUAAGAAAAUUAAUAUCCGUCCAUUGUUACAAUUGAAUCGCCAGUUAAAAAAAAAAUAGAAGUAAUGAUUCAAAUCGAUCUUUUUCUUAGUGACGAAUAGAUCAUUCUAUGCUUAUGCAUAGAUUAUACUUGUUUAUUUUCAUUUUGAGGAAAUAAUCAAAUAUGGUAAAUUUGAUAACAAAUAUGAAAGAAAAGUCCUUGGCAAUAGCAGUAUAUCAAAUAAGUAAUGCUAGAUUUAAAAUUCAAAACGGAUUGUAAAUUAACAAUUUUUUCUUUACAUACCAACGUUUGUUCAUUAGUCUUGUUCAUUAGUCUUAUCAUAUUUUUUUUAUUAAAUACUAAAACUCAAAAAGGAGGUGGAGUAAAUCCAUAUUUGUCCUAUAAAAAUAUAAUUUUUUUUGUUUUUGCAAAUUAAUAUUUCUCUUAACAAAUAACACAUACCUACAUGAGCAUGAAUAUAUGAACUUUAAUUAAUCAUGUAAUCACCUAAUCAUUGAACCCCUCAACUGGCGACUUGACCUUGACUCAUAUCAAUUUCCAGUUAAAUGGAAAAUAGACAAAAAAAAAAUUGAUAAGAAAUUUCUGCACAAAAUGAAAUUUUGUUGAGCUCAAUCAAAUUCUAUUUUACAAUUGAAGCAUAUACCAUUACAUUUUAAAACUUUAAGAAAAACUUAAAAAUAUUUUAAGUUUCGCUAAUCUAGUUUCAGUACUGCAAAAAAUCUUUACCGCAAUAUAUUAUAAGAUGUUUAUGUGGUUUGCAUUAGAGAAAUAAAAAUCUAUCUUGUUUGGUAUCGCGCUUGUUUUAAUUUUUUAAGUAAAAGUUUAAACUUUUUUCAUUCAAAGUGUUUACUUGAUAACACAGAAUAAAAAUUUAAAAAUAUUUUUUUUCUUUUAAAAAUUUUUUAUACAACUUACCAUCGAAUAGUUAGCAGAAUAUAUGAUAAGCUGCGCAGCUAUAACAAUAAUAAAAAAAAUGCCUUCAACAUAUUAAAUGGCCAAUUUGCAUAAAAAAUUCACUAAUUUUGGACUUUUGCAAAAUCGGACCACCUUUUUCGUUUUUCCAGAUUCGGUUCACUUUUUCAAAAAGAUGAUCAAACUACCUCUCUUUCAAAAUGCAUAAGAAGUACAUGCAUUAAUUAUCUUGAAAAAUGCAGCUGACAAGUCAUUAUUACAGUUAUCUUUUUCUUGAAAAAUAAAAUUCUCAUUAACAUACAAAUAAAAAAUUUCAAAUAAUAAAAGUAAAAAAGAAAGAAUGGAAUACACCUUAAAUGGUGCAAUAUCGUUCCAAAUUGUGCAAUAUUUCUUCCAAAUAGUGUAAUAUUUGUGUAAACAGUGCAAUGUUUGCACAAUUUAUAUAACAUUGCAUAAUUUUUUAUACUAAAUUACGAAUAAUAUAGUAUACUACGCGCAAAUAAUAUAACAUAUUACAAUAUACUAUAAAAAUCAUGUAUUAUAUGUAUAAACGGUAAAUAUUUUGCACUAUUUGUAUAAAUAUUUACACCAUUUGCAUAGAUAUUGCAUUAUUAUGAGAGAAUGUUGCACCAUUUAGAUAUUCUGUUGCACUCUUUCUUUUUAAAAAUUAAAAUAUAUUGUAUAUUAAAUAAAGUGUUAAAUUUUUUGAAGAUGACAACUGUUAAUUCAUAAUUACAUGUACCUUUCUUGAGAUACGAGAAUCCUCAUUUAAUUAAGAUAAAAUAAAAAAUAAAAUAUCAUUAAUAUAAUGAAAGAGUGCAACAUCCUCUUAAAGAGUGCAAUAUAGUCUCAAAUAGUGCAAUAUUUAUGUAAAUAGUGUAAUAUAUGCAUCUUUAAUACACAUAUUGCAUGAUUUUUAUACAAAAUUACGAAUAAUAUAAUAUAUUACGUGAAAAUAACACGAAAAUAAUAUAACAUAUUAAAAUAUACUAUAAAAAUCAUGCAUUAUAUGUAUAAACGGUGAAUAUUUUGCACUAUUUGUACAAAAAUUUACACCAUUUGCAUAGAUGUUGCACUAUUAUGAGAUAAUGUUGCACCAUUUAGAUGUUAUGUUGCACUCAUUCUUUUUAAAAAUUAAAGUGCAUUGUAUAUUAAAUAAAGUGUUAAAUUUCUUGGAAAUGACAACUGCUAAGUCAUAAUUACAUGUACCUUUCUCGAGAGACGAGAAUCCUCAUUUAAUUAAGAUAAAGUAAAAAAUAAAGUAUCAUUAAUACAAUGAAAGAGUGCAACAUCCUCUUAAAGAGUGUAACAUAGUCUCAAAUAGUGCAACAUUCUCUUCCAAAUAGUGCAAUAUUUAUGUAAAUAGUGCAAUAUAUGCAUCGUUAAUACACAUAUUGCAUGAUUUUUAUACAAAAUUACGAAUAAUAUAAUAUAUUACGUGAAAAUAACACGAAAAUAAUAUAACAUAUUAAAAUAUACUAUAAAAAUCAUGCAUUAUAUGUAUAAACGGUGAAUAUUUUGCACUAUUUGUACAAAAAUUUACACCAUUUGCAUAGAUGUUGCACUAUUAUGAGAUAAUGUUGCACCAUUUAGAUGUUAUGUUGCACUCAUUCUUUUUAAAAAUUAAAGUGCAUUGUAUAUUAAAUAAAGUGUUAAAUUUCUUGGAAAUGACAACUGCUAAGUCAUAAUUACAUGUACCUUUCUCGAGAGACGAGAAUCCUCAUUUAAUUAAGAUAAAAUAAAAAAUAAAAUAUCAUUAAUACAAUAAAAGAGUGCAACAUCCUCUUAAAGAGUGUAACAUAGUCUCAAAUAGUGCAACAUUCUCUUCCAAAUAGUGCAAUAUUUAUGUAAAUAGUGCAAUAUAUGCAUCGUUAAUACACAUAUUGCAUGAUUUUUAUACAAAAUUACGAAUAAUAUAAUAUAUUACGUGAAAAUAACACGAAAAUAAUAUAACAUAUUAAAAUAUACUAUAAAAAUCAUGCAUUAUAUGUAUAAACGGUGAAUAUUUUGCACUACUUAUAUAAAAAUUUACACCAUUUGCAUAGAUGUUGCACUAUUAUGAGAUAAUGUUGCACCAUUUAGAUGUUAUGUUGCACUCAUUCUUUUUAAAAAUUAAAGUGCAUUGUAUAUUAAAUAAAGUGUUAAAUUUUUUGAAAAUGAUAACAGCUAAGUCAUAAUUACAUGUACCUUUCUCGAGAGACGAGAAUCCUCAUUUAAUUAAGAUAAAAUAAAAAAUAAAAUAUCAUUAAUACAAUAAAAGAGUGCAACAUCCUCUUAAAGAGUGUAACAUAGUCUUAAAUAGUGCAACAUUCUCUUCCAAAUAGUGCAAUAUUUAUGUAAAUAGUGCAAUAUAUGCAUCGUUAAUACACAUAUUGAAUAAUUUUUUAUAUAAAAUUACGAAUAAUAUAAUAUAUUACGUGAAAAUAACACGAAAAUAAUAUAACAUAUCACAAAAUACUAUAAAAAUCAUAAAUUAUAUUAUAAACGGUGCAUAUUUUACAUUAUUUGUAUAAAUAUUUACACUAUUUGUAUAUAUACUGCACUAUUAUGAGAAAAUAUUGCACCAUUUAGAUGGUAUAUUGCACUCUUUCUUUUUAAAAAUUAAAGUGCUUAUCUAUUAAAUAAAGAGUGUAAUUUCUUGAAAAUGACAACUGCUAAAUCAUAAUUGCAUGUACCUUUCUCGAGGGACGAGAAUGAUCAUUUAAAACAAUAUACAAAAAGUAAAAUAUUGUUAAUAAGAUGAAAAAGUGCAACAUUCUCUCAAAUAAUGCAAACAUCCUCUUAAAUGGUGCAACAUUAGAGAGAAUGUUGCACUAUUUCAUUCUAAUGUUGCAAUCUUUCAUUAUAUUAAUGAUAAUUUAUUUUUUAUUUUAUCUUAAUUAAAUGAGGAUUCUCGUCUUUCGAGAAAAGUACAUAUAAUUAUGACCUAGCAGCUGUCAUUUCCAAGAAAUUUAACACUUUAUUUAAUAUACAAUAUACUUUUAUUUUUUUAAAAAAAGAGUGCAACAUAACAUCUAAAUGGUGCAACAUUAUCUCAUAAUAGUGCAACAUCUAUGCAAAUUGUGUAAAUUUUUGUACAAAUAGUGCAAAAUAUUCACUGUUUAUACAUAUAAUGCAUGAUUUUUAUAGUAUAUUUUAAUAUGUUAUAUUAUUUUCGUAUUAUUUUCACGUAAUAUAUUAUAUUAUUCGUAAUUUUGUAUAAAAAUCAUGCAAUAUGUGUAUUAACUAUGCAUAUAUUGCACUAUUUAUAUAAAUAGUGCACUAUUUGGAAGAGAAUGUUGCACUAUUUGAAACUAUGUUACACUCUUUAAGAGGAUGUUGCACUCUUUCAUUGUAUUAAUGAUAUUUUAUUUUUUAUUUUAUCUUAAUUAAAUGAGGAUUCUCGUCUCUCGAGAAAGGUACAUGUAAUUAUGACUUAGCAGUUGUCAUUUCUAAAAAAUUUAACACUUUAUUUAAUAUAUAAUGCACUUUAAUUUUUUUAAAAAAAGAGUGCAACAUAACAUCUAAAUGGUACAACAUUAUCUCAUAAUAGUGUAAUAUCUAUGCAAAUGGUGUAAAUAUUUGUAUAAAUAGUGUAAAAUUUUUACCGUUUAUACAUAUAAUACAUGAUUUUUAUAAUAUAUACUAUAUUAUUCAUAAUUUAGUAUAAAAAAUUGUGCAACAUUAUAUAAAUUGUGCAAACAUUGCACUGUUUAUACAAAUAUUACACUAUUUGAAAGAAAUAUUGCACAAUUUGGAACGAUAUUGCACUAUUUAAGGUGUAUUCCAUUCUUUCUUUUUUACUUUUAUUAUUUAAAAUUUUUUAUUUGUAUGUUAAUGAGAAUUUCAUUUUCUAAAAAGAAGGUAACUGUAAUAAUAACUUGUCAGCUGCAUUUUUGAAGAUAAUUAAUACAUGUACUUCUUAUGUAUUUUGAAAUAGGAGUAGUUUGGUCAUUUUUUUGAAAAAGCGGACCGAAUCUGCAAAAACGAAAAAUAUGGCCCGGUUUUGCAAAAGCCCAAAACUAGUGAAUUUUUUAUGCAAAUUGGCCAUAUUAAAUUAUACAAAAAUAAUAUUUAAUAAAUUAAAAAGAUAAAACAACGAAUCAAGCAAAGCCUGUAAGUAAGACCGCAUUUCCGAAAGUGCGCACAACAUUAUCACGGCUAGAGCCAAACCGUGCCAGGUUUGAGCGCGCAGAAUUUUCUGCACGGACCCGGUCCGCCACAUCAUGUGUGGACCAUCCCGUAGUGAAAUCAUCAGCACCCAAUAAAUUCCAUAUAUUAUAUAUUUUUAAAAAUUCUAAAGUUAACUUUCCAUGUGAAGAUUAAAUUCUAAAGUAGAAGGAACCAACGAGGCAUGCGAUAAAUGGUUUGGUGGUCCACGGCGCGCAUCGAGGACCAGGUUUAGACAACUGUUUGUCGUCCUAACGACCAGGCACCAUGGUAGGCCUGUAGCCCUUCCACUUCCACCACCCAGCCUAUACAGUACAGUAAUGGUCGGUGGGCGAGUUGUAAUAUCCCUCAACAAUUUUAACACGUCGAUAAAAAAAAAAAAUCAACAAACACGCACCUGUAAAUAAAUAUGGAUAAAUAAUAAAUUUUAGAAAGGAAAAGAAAGUGCGAAAGGGAGAAACCGUCCAACUCCAACAACAACCGGGCACCACAAAAAAAAAAAAAAGAAAAAAAAAGAAGAAGGCGCCCGUCUCUCUCUCUCUCUCCUCCCCCGUUCUCUCCUCUUCGUCGCGCUCUCGUUGACGCAUUCCUCUCCUCUCCAUUCCGCAUCCUUGAAGAAAAUCGAGAGGACGAGAAAUUGAGCGAGAAAAAGAAGAUCCGAUGGAGGACGAAGACGCCGACCCCGUGAUCACGCGGAUGGCGACGACGACGACGACGACGGGGGCGCAGAACCAUCCGCCGUCCGCUGUGCAGUCUUCUUCUUCUUCUUCUUCUUCUUCGCAGGGGUCGAAUCCGCCGCCGGCGGGAGCUGGUGGUGGUGGUGGCCUCCGGCGGCAACUCCUCCCACCCCUUCUUCCUCUUCGAGUCCGCCGCCGCCGCCGACGCCCCACGCUCCUUCUCCUACCCGCAUUACUACUCCUCCUCACCGCCCCCCUCCUUCCCCCACCACCACCACUCCAAUUCCAGCGACGAACUCCGAUUCCCUCCCCCGCUGCCCCCGCACUACCACCACCACUCCCACCCCUACAUCGUCGGCGGCGGCGGCGGAGGAGGCGGGGGGUCGGCGUCGCUGUCGGGGAGCGACGGGUCGCUGACGCUGGAGCGGGCCAUGUCGGAGUACGGCGGGGCGCCGGGGACGCUCCCGGAGUUCAUGGGGAGCGGCGGCGGGGCGGGGAUCUUCCGGGUGCCCCUGCGCGCCGCGAUGCACCCGGGCCGCCCCCCGCCGCUCGAGCUGCGCCCGCACCCGCUGCGCGAGACGCAGGCCGGGUCCUUCCUCCGCGCCGUGGCGUGCGAACCGCGCCGGGGCCAGCUCUGGGCCGGGGCCGAGUCCGGGCUCCGGGUGUGGGACCUCGCCGAGGUGUUCGGCGGGUGGGGGCCCGGGGAGGCGCGGCGCGGGGACGAGGAGAGCGCGCCGUUCCGGGAGUCGGCGCCGACGUCGCCCGCCAUGUGCUUGGUGGUGGACGCCGCCACCGGAUUGAUCUGGAGCGGCCACAGGGACGGGAAGAUCCGGUCGUGGAAGAUCGAGCAGCCCAAGGCGCACCAGGACGCCUCUGAGGAUGGCGCCGCGCCCGUCCAAUUCAGGGAAGGGCUCUCUUGGCAGGCGCACCACCGGUCCCCUGUUCUCUCCAUGGUCAUCACUUGCUAUGGUAGGCAGUAUAGCCCAACACAAUUUUUAGCCCUCUUCUUCUCCAAAUUAGAUUUCUCUUAGCAAUGAAGAAAGAAUCAGAUAUUUAUAUAAUUCGAAUUGAGAAAUGAUAUCAAAUGAGCAAGAUGUUGGUGAAAUUUCGGUUUCUUGCAUUCGUAAAUUUGUAAACCAGAAUUUGAGAUUGGAAAAUCAAAGCCAGUUAACUAGGAUAGUCAAUUUUUACGAUAUAACAUGUAUAGAGGGACGUCAUCUAAAUAACUGAAUUUGAAAUCAAGCAUUUCUUGCGGAUUGAUUCGAAGAAAGCGAGAUAUUAACGAACUGAAUUUGAGAUUUGUGUGGUGUUUCGCAAGAAAUUUGUUUAUCCUUGCGUUCCGGUCAUUCAAAAUUUCCAUUUGGAAGCUUAAUCUGGGACAGAAAGUUAACUGACCGGCUGUCCUUCUUUAUACUCUGUGAAAUCCAGGUGAAUUAUGGUCUGGAUCUGAAGGUGGAGUUAUAAAGGCGUGGCCUUGGGAUGCCAUUGAAAAAUCCCUCUCUCUAACUAUAGAAGAAAGGCAUAUGGCGGCUUUACUGGUUGAAAGAUCAUAUGUUGACCUACGAAGCCAGGUCACAGUUGGUGGUGUUUGUUCUCUGCCUGCUUCCGACAUAAAGUAUAUGGUAGCCGAUAAUUCUAGAUCUAAGGUGUGGAGCGCUAGUAGCCUCACCUUCGCUCUGUGGUAUGCCUUUCUUAAUUUUCCUGUAUUUUUUGCCAGGCUCAAAUUUUUUAGCCUCAGGAAGUGAAUUUCUUAGUUCUCUUUGAUGCCACAGGGAUGCUCGUUCGAGGGAUCUAUUGAAAGUAUUUGGCAUAGAUGGCCAGGUUGAGACACGGGUCGACUCUCAACCAAUGCAGGAAUCUUAUGUAGAGGAUGAGAUGAAGGUUAAAUUCGUCUCCACGUCAAAGAAGGAGAAGUCGCAAGGCUCUUUUAACUUCUUUCAGCGCUCUCGUAAUGCCCUGAUGGGUGCGGCUGAUGCUGUGCGUAGAGUAGCUGUCAAAGGAACAUUCACAGAAGACAAUCGUAGAACGGAAGCAUUGGCAAUAGCAAUGGAUGGGACAAUUUGGUCCGGAUUCACAAAUGGUACACUUAUUCAGUGGGAUGGAAAUGGGGGCCGAAUACAGGAGGUUCAGCAUCAUCCUUCCUCCGUUCAGUGCAUUUGCGCGUUUGGGACGCGGUUGUGGGUGGGUUAUGUUAGUGGCACUAUUCAGGUUAUGGAUCUUGAAGGGAAUUUAUUGGGAGGAUGGGUUGCACACAGCUGUCCGGUCAUUAAGAUGGCUGUUGGGGGUUCCUAUAUCUUUACGUUGGCUCAUCAUGGAGGUAUCCGUGGCUGGCAUUUAACAUCUCCCGGACCUCUUGACGAUAUUUUGAGAACUGAAUUGGCCAACAGGGAAUUGUCAUACACCAAGAUAGAAAAUAUUAAGAUACUCGCUGCGACUUGGAAUGUUGGACAAGAAAAGGCAUCUCAUGAUUCGCUCAUAUCGUGGCUGGGCAGCGUGGCAUCGGAGGUUGGUUUGGUCAUCAUCGGAUUGCAGGAGGUGGAAAUGGGUGCUGGUUUUCUUGCAAUGGCAGCUGCAAAGGAAACUGUAAAGCACUUGCACUCUAUUUUUGUUUUGUUGCUGGUUUUUUUUUUUUUUUUUGGCUUCUCUCACUUUAGUCUAGUAAAUAAAGCUCUAUUCUCAUGUUAAUUACAGUAUGAGAUAACAUAGGCACAUAGCAUUUCAUGGAAACAGCUUCUUUUUGCCCUCUCCAUAUCCCACACUAUUGGGAAAGCAGAAAGGCCUAUUUAGUAUUUACUUUUUAUAGCAUAUAAGGGGAGUAGGAUUAUGUACUUCUUAUAGCACUACCUUAGUUAGCUGGAGUUUCAACAAGUUGCUUUUCUUUCCUUGUCUCAUGUAUGUGUUGACUGUAGAGAUUGUGUUUUUCAGUUGUCCAUAUCAUUGCAUAUGUAUUAUUGGUGAUAUACCUUUCCUUUUCCUGUUCCUUUCAUUAGUUGCUCUUUCUUUGUUGUAUACUUAUAAUGCUCAUAAGGUCAGGUUCUAUUUGGAGUUGCUUUGGUCUAUACAAUCAUGCAUUCAUAGUGAUUUACUGGUCUUAGGUAGGACUUGAGGGCAGUGCCAAUGGACAAUGGUGGUUAGACACUAUUGGCAAGACCUUAGAUGAGGGUACAUCUUUCCAACGGGUCGGUUCAAGGCAGCUGGCAGGACUACUAAUCUCAGCAUGGUAUGGCCUUUUACUUCAAAUACCUUACUGAAAAUGCUUAUUCUUGUGAUGUAAUCCAUAUCUUUUUGUUAAUUUGACAUUGUCAUUAUGCAUGUUGGUAUCUUUGUCUCUCUUUAUUCCAUGUAUAACUUGCUAAGUAAACUUUUGAAGGGCAAGGAAGAACCUUAGGCCACAUAUUGGUGAUGUUGAUGCUGCAGCAGUGCCAUGCGGAUUUGGGCGUGCAAUUGGUAACAAGGUACUAUGUUUAUCACAAGGACUUCUUGUUGAAAAUCAGUCAGUAGCAAAACCUCAUUUUAAUUGUGAUAUAUAUAUAUAUAUAUAUAUAUAUAGAGAGAGAGAGAGAGAGAGAGAGAGCUAGGCUGGUAUACUAUCGAUAGCACGGAGGCCUCCGUACUACCAAGUUGUUUUCAAUGAUGCGGUUUCCAAAUCGACGAUCGACUCCAUUAGACUUGAUCUACACAAUUAAAAAUAUUUGGAAACUAAAUUUCAUAAUUUUUCGACAUCAUUUGGCUAGUGAUCAAAAGGUCUCAAAAUUGAUAAUUUUAAUGGUAGAUGUGAUGCAUUUGUAAGUUUAACGGUGUAAAACAAUCCAAAUCAGAUGAAAUUUUUAUAGAAAUUUUUUUUACUAUUUAGAGUGUUAGCAAAAAGAGGGUUAGCAAAAAAAUAUAUUUCAGUAAAUAGGGUUGCUGAGUAAAUUGCUAGUAGCUAAAAGGUGAAGACCUGUUUAAACUCAUUCUGGCAAAGCAUCAAGCAUUUGAUUGGGUUGUAAAUAGGAUAAAAUAUUACGCACACUGGAUUCCUCUUAGCAAUGCUUUUACCUAAUGAUCUCGAUAAGUUAUGCACUUUUGCCACAUGUUUAUUGUAAGCAUGAUAUGUAAUGCUAAAGGUUGUCCACAGGGUGCUGUAGGUUUGAGAAUGAGAGUUUAUGAUCGAUCAAUAUGCUUUGUAAACUGUCAUUUUGCUGCACAUCUUGAAGCAGUCAGCAGACGCAAUGCUGACUUUGAUCAUGUCUAUAGAACAUUGUCUUUCAGCAGGCCUUCUAUCGGGCUUCAUGGAGCGGCAGGUUUGUUAUUUCGACCUUUUCCUUUAUCCAUAAACUGCUGCAUGAUAAUCUUUUACUUACAGAAUAUGCCUACAUUUUUUUGCUUAACAAUUUGUUUGUAAGAGUUGCAUAAACACCUCUGGCAACUUUACGUAAGGCAGAGUUUGGUUUUUUGGGGGUGAUAGUGGAAAAGUUGACAGAUAAGUCACCCUUACUGUCACUCUACAGAACCGUACAUGAGAUUUUUCACCUCAUACGGCUCCUCGUUCAAUUCUUUUGAAGUAAUUGGAUCCUUUUCUUCGUUCGAGAAUCUCCUCCCUUCCUCCACUCCAUCCCGAAGAGUAACUAAGACUAAUUCAGUGACGUUUUCAUGUUCCAAUUGAACACUUUCCAUUUAUGAUCAAAGGAGAAGAUUAUUCUUUUUACCAAACAUAUGCGGAUCAAAUCACGAUCUUAUAAUUCUAAUAAGAACAAGAAAUCUUUCUCGAUAUCAAUCCCUUUGCCCCUCAUUCUUCGAGAAUCAGAAGGAUCCUUUUCGAGUUUCAAUUUGUUCAUUUUGAAUCUGGGCUCUUCUAUCUUACAUAUAUAUAUUUUUUUAUAUAGAUAUAAAUUUUUAAACCUCUCAGUUGCUUGAUUUUGGGGAAAUUUUGUCAGAAGAGUUGUCGAAUAUUCUGUAGAUUAAGAGAAUUUUCUGCUAAAAUAUAUGAGUUUGAUUAAAGAAGGUUGAGUUUGUUUAGUUGUGACUGAGUUUUUUUUUAAAAAAAAAUAAAACAGCAUAUUACCUGAGGAGAUUCCAAUUAUAAAAAAUGAAGUGCAAGGCCUGUUUCCAAAUGGCCUAUACAUUUUUUAUCUAACUUUCUUACUAUGUAAUUUAUGUUGCAGCUGGUGCAACAUCUGUCCAAUUGCAUCGAGGAGUGAAUGUAUGUAACCGAUUUACUUGUACUGUGCACUGAUUUUUUUGACAUUAUGUUUCCACGACUGCGGAACUCAAAUACUGACAAAUAGAUAAUAUGGAGAUGACAGGCUAGUGGAUCUCAAUCAGAUGAUGGGAAACCUGAGCUGUCCGAAGCAGACAUGGUGGUAUUCCUUGGUGAUUUCAAUUAUCGGCUUCACGGUAUCACAUAUGACGAGGCAAGGGACAUGGUUUCUCAAAGAUGUUUUGACUGGCUUAGAGAGAAGGAUCAACUGCGAGCAGAGAUGAAAGCAGGCAAAGUCUUUCAAGGAAUGCGUGAAGGACAAAUCAAAUUUCCCCCCACUUAUAAGUUUGAAAGGCACCAACCAGGCUUAUCAGGUAUCAUUCAGCCUUUAGAAAAUAUUUAUUUGAAUAUCUCAUAGCAUAUACUUCAUUUCUAUAAUUUUAUCUUUGUAGACUGCAUGAAUGCUAAGUUUGUCAUCUCAUUGCCUUGCAGGAUAUGAUUCGGGUGAGAAGAAGCGGAUUCCAGCAUGGUGUGACAGAAUAUUGUAUCGUGAUAGCCGCUCUAUUUCGGUGGCUGAAUGCUCAUUAGAGUGCCCUGUGGUUUCAUCAAUUAUAUUGUUAGAUACUUACUGUACCCUGAUCUUAGCAUUACAGGCAUGUGCCUUUCCAAUUACUUACAAACUUAGCAUCUCGAUUUCUUAGGUAUGAAGCUUGCAUGGAUGUCACAGAUAGCGAUCACAAGCCCGUGAGGUGUAUGUUCAAUGUUGAGAUAGCUCGCGUAGAUGAAUUAAUAAGGAGGCAAGAAUAUGGAGAAAUAAUUGCAUCGAAUGAGAAAAUAAGUUCUAUGCUCGAAGAGUUUUCUAUUAUUCCAGAAACAAUUGUUAGCACAAACAACAUCAUCUUGCAAAAUCAAGAAACAACCAUCCUUAGAAUAACUAAUAAAAGCGAGAAGGACAAGGCUGCUUUUGAGAUCAUUUGUGAAGGCCAGUCGACCGUUAAAGAGGAUGGUAAUGCAUCAGAGCUUUGUUCUCGAGCUUCUUUUGGAUUUCCUCUUUGGCUUGAGGUAAGAAUCAAUUAUCUCACUCUUGUACCCCAAUGUAUUUUGACGAGUCCUUUAAGUUGCAUGCAUUUAUCUUGGCUUCUUGGACGUUCUCUAAAUUGCAUUACUGACUAGUUGAUCUGCAAGGGAGCUGUUGGGCAUUGCAAGUGCCGCAUAUUUAUUAAGGUGGAUGCUGGGAUGAAUAUCAAGACUUUUGUCUUACUCGCUAAUAAGGCUUUCUAAUUAACUGAUUUAUAAUGAUCUUCAACAAGUGAAAUCUGCGUAUUGUACUUCGACAAACUAUAAAGUAUAACCAUAACGGUACACAGCAGCAAUGCGAAGUGUUGCAUCACUUAAAUUAAUUCAAGAAAUUUUCUGUCAUUAUCUCUACACAAUAUUAGUCGUAUCAGUUUCAUGAAAUUGAGUGACAUGGUUUGGAAUGCCAAAAUUCCAUUGUCUGUCGGUCGUCAAACUAAUGCUGCUUCAGUUUGGGAAAAGUUAUUAUACUUACAUUCAAAUGUGUUCUAGUGUGGAUUUUUGUAUCUGUUGCAUUUCUAAAUCAGAUCUACUUUGAGUCGCAUAAUGUAAAUUGGCACUAACUUUAUAUGCAGUCUUUGUAACUCGUAUUGAAAUUUCGCUAGGUGUUGCACAUCUGGGAUCCAUUUGUUUACUUUUCCUCAUAAAAGCAACUAUUGAGUACAAUAGAGUUGUCCAUUAUCAUCAUUGGCCGCUAAUUUGCUAUUACUACUUAAAACAGGUUCAUCCAGCAGUCGGGAUAAUCAAGCCCGGUCAAAUAGUAGAAAUCACCGUUCACCACGAGGACUUCUACACUCAGGAAGAGUUUGUCGAUGGAAUUCCGCAAAACUGGUGGUGUGAAGAUACAAGGGACAAGGAAGUCGUCCUGUCAGUAAACGUAACAGGCACCGGCUCGACUAAGAGUAAGACCCACCGGAUCCAUGUAAGACAUUGCUUUGCAUCCCGUACGUCAUGUAAUGAGACUAAAGGGCCUUCGAGAAGAAACCAAUCGAAUCACCUUCACCGUUCUGACUUCGCCCAGUUCGGCAGCUCAGAGGUACAUGACUUGUGCCACAUGCGUUGCCCUUAAAAGCAGUUUAUAUGUAGCCCAUAUCUAUAUAUCAUUUUUGAAUGAGACAAAUGGAAGUGAAGCCAAAGAUUUUUCUUGUGAAAACACCCUAAGAACUUGCUCCUAGAUUCUUCUUUUAUUUUUUUCUUGUACAUACACAACUCGGAGUCAAAAAAAAAAAAGGCUGAAUACCCGAGGUACUCGCAUGUUAUCGUGUUUCAUUUAUUCUUUUUUCAGUAUAUUUUAGAGAGCUGAGUUCUUAGGAGAGAGAGCUGUGUUUUGAGUUGAUUGUUGUCUUUGUAAUAUUCCUCAUAGAGUGAUUUUUAGGUGAUGUCUUUAACAGCAUAAAGCAGAAGAGCUUUAAUUUUGUGUAUUUAAGUCUUCUGUUGCUAGAAUUAUGAAAUUUUUUGGUUAGUCCAAAAUUUGUAAUAAUAUUUUGCUUGCUAAUAAGAUAAUUUAACAUUGCUACUAUAUGCCUGUCGUUUCUUUUGGACACUCGGUAUGGGCAUUGUCAGUUUGGUACUUGCUCAACCUUAAAUUUUUGUUUAACUAAGUCUAAAAGAUCUUACAGAGGGCAUCAUAACUUUUAAAAUUUUGUAAAAUGUAUGUGCAGUUUGUGUAUUAUUGCCAUAUAGUGACCUACUUACUAAGUAUAACUAAGGCCUAGUUUGAUAAUGUGGUUGCUAAAAUCAUUAUUUUUAUAUUAUGAAAAAUUCUAAAAAAGCUCAAAAUUCUUACAAUCUUUUUCUUUUUUGUACUAUAAAAUUACGGUUGCAACUGCCACCAAAGAAACAUGUGGCUUGUGUAUUUAGCCACCACAUUAUCAAACAAGGCCUAAGUGCCUAUUUGUUCUGAUAUAUGGUAUAGUGUUAUUCGAUAAAGCAUUAGCUAAAUAAUGCUAUUAAAAAAAAAAAACUACAUAAAAAGCCACAAAGAGGUUCUCUCUAUAGCACAAUCAAAAACCCCAAAUGGGAGUUUCUAUUUUUGGGAGACAAAAAGAGGCCCUAAGUCAAAAGAAUUGCAGGAAAUUAACCAAGCAACAGUUAUUGUGUUCCUGUGUAUAUUCAGCAGUCAAUUACAGGAAUGUUCUAAUACUGAGAAAAAAAAAAAUAACAAGAAACAAAUCAGGCCAUUAUAGCCAAACUUUUCUCUGUUGCACAACUCUAAUUUUCAUUAUAUUUUGAACUAACUAGUUCAUUUCAGAGUUGAAACGAACCAAUCAAACUAAUUUCCAGGUAAAAUUAGAUGAUACUUUGAAGGCAUAUUUCGAAAAGGAGUACUACUCCUGAUGGGAGGAACUGAUUGUUUCCUUUGUUGUAUGUCCUCAAACGAAUGGCUUUUCCAUUUAAUUGGCAUUUUUAGGGAGAGCAUGCAGUAGAAGUUGCUAAGCACCUAGAAUGAAUAUCUUCUAAUAUUAACAAAAAGUCCUGCAGUUUUGACUUGUCCAAUUAGAGCUUGGAGCAAAAUAAAGGAGGGGCCCGUCACCCGUGAGAUGAAAUUAAGCGUAGCAGCUAAAUUAGGAAAAAUAUCCAGUGGUUGAGGUUACCAGAUUCUGUGUGUUGUCAGAUCAUCUUGACACAUCUUACUGCACAUUCGACAGUUGUUAAAUUUCCUGCGAAAAAGAGCUAGAACACAAGUAUUACUACAAAAUAAUUACUAUACGGUGACGACUACUAAAGUCGCCACCAAAUGUAUAAAAUAUCAUAUUGUCGCCACAUCUUGUAGUAGUGUAUUGAUGUUCGCAUGGCACUAGCUAGGGAGGGGAUAUUGAUUAUUGGACACAAUUGAGCACCCCCUCUACUCCUUUAAUGUAGGUUGCAAUAAUUGCUUUGCGCGCACACACACACUAUCUCUUAUCUCAAGUUGCCCUAUCAGAUUGUAAGUUUGAGUCUUUGAAAUCUAUCUUAUAGCUUUUCUCUAUAUAUAUUUUAGCUAAGGUAUCUAAAUUUCAUUUUUACAGCAGAAUAAACUUCUGGGUUUCAAAAUUUCCUUGGAUUUAUAGGAUUGCCGCAAUAGAAACACAAUGUGUUCUUUUCAUCCAAAAAGACUAACUUGGAUGAGAUUAGCUAUGGAAAGAGGAAUAACCUCCAUUCUCCACCGUAUAAUUUGUACUAAUGAUCAGUGAUUGUGGUUUAUUAUCUCAUAUGAUUUCUUACAAUAUAACCAAAAUCUCAUCAAUUGAAAUCAUAUUUGUUAAAAAUUUAUUUAUUAGUUCUCAUAACAUAUCCCUAACCAAAAAAAAAAAAAUCCCCUUUUGAAAACAAUUAAUUAUAUUUGCUCUUUUAUUGUUUAAUUAAGUGCUUAUUACUGAAAGGAGACACAUCGAAAUAAUCUUAUAUAUAUUUCUACCUAAAUUCAACUUUAAUUUGUUUUGAGCUCAAAAAUAUUCAAUUUCUAAGUAACUUGAAUUAAGAUGAAUAGUUUGGGUGAGAUUGGGGGAACCAAGUGGUAGCCCACUACUUUGAAAUAUUUAAUAUUCAAAAGUGGCUUCUCCAUGGAUCCAAUCUAAAGGAACCAGUUUCAACCCUAACCACCAAUUGGGGAAUUAAAUUCCUUGAAAUGGAAGAUCAAUGAUCAUGUAUUAAUUAGUUGUCAUUAAAUGAUCAUCUAAUUUUUGCUUUUAUGUGGCAAACAUUGUAUUUUUCAACUCAAUUAUCACAUUACUAAUUUAAAAAAUAAAUUCUUAAAGUGCUUAUAAGCAUCUACAUAUUACUCGACACGAAUUCCAAAUUUAAGUCCACAUAGAAUAAUACAACUUCAGACUCGAUCGUCCGCUGAUCUGAGACCUUCAAAGUAAUUAAACUGAAAAAGUUUGUGUUAAAACAUAACUAAAAUUAUAUAAUAAUAAUUUGAAAACAGAGUGUAAUUCCCACUGAGGAAUCCAUGAACCUACCAUCUGUGUAACUUUUAAUUCUUGUUUUCAGAAAAGUUUCUUUAAUUUUUAAUUGAUUCUUCCCAUUAAGUACCAUCACUCAACAUGGCCCAGGAGAAAUUAUUGCCUGCACCAAGUGUAUUUAGAUGAUUAAUGUUUUGAAAAAAACCAAAUUAUUAAUGUCUACGAGUUUCAGAAAUCUGUAACUUAAGCAUUAAAUAGUUUCGUAUAUGGAAACUGUUAUAAAAAAAAAGAAAAAAAAACUGAAUCACAAAAAAAAAAAAGAAAAAGAGAGAUACCUCUAAAAUUUACGACCUAAGGGAAAUAUUUUUUUCAACAAAAUUUAACACAUCAAAUGAAUUACGAUUCUGAUUUAAAUUCCCUGUAUCAGUAUUUUUUUAAAAAAGUGAUAAUAAUAAUAAUAAUAAUGCACCUGGUCCAAUCGAAAAUUUGGAGCGACCCAACGACGAACUGGACGGGUCAAUGGUAUACCUACCAAAUAAUGCUGGACUGUUCUUUGCGAUGCGUACCGAGUAAAUUACCAAACAACUUCCCCAACAUAUCUUCAAGCAAAAUGACCUUUUUAGGAUUUUAGCUCAUAUUAUUAUAUGAAAUAGUUAACAAUUCAAUCAACUUAUUGUAUUAAAAGAUUAAUACCAAAACAAUCUAAAUCUAAAUGACUCAACCUGAAUCUCAAUAAUUUAAACUUCAAGAUUUAGCAACACAAUUAAUAUUCAAUUUACAGUAACUGGCGUUCGUAUAUAGUGUCUAACUGAAUGUUUGAUUUAUUUAGUAGAACUUUCGAGAAGGAUAAACUAAUAAUGGAUUUUCUGAUACGAGACUAAUAACUCAAAAAAAUGCCCACUUAAAUGUUACCACCCGGACAUAACCCCGGAUGGGGGAGUUAUUUGGUAGCAUAAGAGCGUAGGAGGAGCAGCCAACUCACCACCGCGGCAGAGCAGGCGUGCGUGUCGUAAUCUUUCUUUCUUCCGUCUGUGCCCCCUCCCCUCCUCCGCCUGUCAUGCCGCCCACUCUCUCCCACUCCCCACCCCCAUCUUAUAAUUAUUCGGGUGGACAUCCAUUCUAGUCCUAGUCAAACAACAACGCUGCUGUAGUGCUGUGGUAAUUGUUAAAAUAAUUAAUUAUUAAUAGUAAAAUUUAAACAAAUAUAAUAAUAAUAAUAACAGUAAGUAAGGUAACGGUAGGAGCAGUAGUAGUAGUAAUUAAGGCAUCUCUCUCUCUCUCUCCUUUUAUUAUUAUUAUUAUUAUUAUUAUUGCCCUAAUAUAUUUCUUUUUCUCUUUUUUUUUGUGUGUGGCUUCAUCUGGGGAGUAGGAGGAGGAGGAGGAGGAGGAGGAGUAGAAGAGAAGGAGAAGAGGGGAAAUGGAGGAAGAUGGGGAGGAGGAGGUGGAGGAGUACCUGUUCAAGGUGGUGAUAAUCGGGGACUCGGCGGUGGGGAAGUCGAACCUGCUGAGCCGGUACGCGCGGAACGAGUUCAACCUGCACUCGAAGGCGACGAUCGGGGUGGAGUUCCAGACGCAGAGCAUGGACAUCGACGGCAAGGACGUCAAGGCCCAGAUCUGGGACACCGCCGGCCAGGAGCGCUUCCGCGCCGUCACCUCCGCCUACUACCGCGGCGCCUUCGGUGCCCUCCUCGUCUACGACAUCUCCCGCCGCUCCACCUUCCACAGCGUCUCCCGCUGGCUCCAGGAGCUCAACAGUUAAGUACUACUGCUGUGCUGUGCUGUGCUCUCUACUCUACUCUACUCUACUCUACUCUACUACCCCCCCCAUUUAGAUCACAUCAGAUCAGAUCAGAUCAGCUCAGAUCAGAUCAGAUCAGAUCAUUUCGAAAAAGACCACUCACUCGGCUGGUUGGCUGGUUGGUUGGUUGGUUGGUUGGUUGGUAGUGACGGGGAUCUGAGAGCGUGCUGCUCUCAGAUCACGGGAAUAAGCAGCCCCUUCUUCGCAGGAUGAUGCGUGCGUUUUGUUUUAGGGAAUUUUGCUGGGGAAUUGGGAAUCUGUAAAUCUGACUGACUGCUUUUUACAUCCACAAAAUCUAUUCUUCUUGAGAUCUGGAUCUGGUCGAGCUUCUACAAAUUAGUAUUAUUCAUGUUUUGUUGCAUUUUAGGCUGCUUGUGCCCAGAUUACAUAUAUUCUUAGCUUGCCAAGGUCUUGAUUUUUUUUUUUUUUAAAAAAAAAAAAAAAAAAAAAAAAACAUAACUCACUGCUUGUGCUUCAGAACAUCUUUCAUAUGUUCUGAUAUAUGUUGCAUAUAUCAGAACAUCUUUUGCUCGCUCUUUCAUUGAUGUUGUGCAAUCUAAAUCUAAAUUAAUUGGCGCUUGAAAAUGAGUGAUACUUUACCUUUGUUAUUAGCGUAUCGAGGGAGUAAUUAGCAUUACUCCGUAACUCACUUCUUGUUAUAGUUAAUCAUACCCCGCACACCAGCUACUCGUAGUGCGCUGCAACUAUCUAAUCUCAAGUUAAUCGCUCGCUACGUGGCAAUAUUGGGAACGAUUUCAUUGCAAAAUAGCUUGUGCUUCUUAAGAGAUUUUGGCACCAAAUAAAAUAAAGGAGCUGAUCUAUGGGACACCCCCCCCUCCAGAGAUUGGCUAUGACGGAAAUUAGAAAUUUUAGUUUUUAUUAGCUUCAGAUCAGACAUCCGUGAGCUGAGCUUUAAAGUACUGUGAUGAUGAUCAAUGCAGCACAUUCGGACACGACUAUCGCGAAGAUGCUGGUCGGCAACAAAUGCGACCUCGCGAACAUCCGAGAAGUGUCGGUAGAAGAAGGCAAAGCCCUCGCAGAAGCCGAAGGCUUGUUCUUUAUGGAGACUUCGGCUCUCGACUCGACGAACGUCAAGACGGCCUUCGAGAUUGUGAUCAAGGAGAUCUACAACAAUGUCAGCAGGAAGAUCUUGAACUCCGAUUCCUAUAAAGCCGAAUUGACCGUCAACAGGGUGAGCCUUAACGGCGACGGCACAGAUGAGCAGAAACCGACGAGCAGAUUCAGUUGCUGCUAAAAGGUUCAUCUCUUGGGUGUUUAGUAUUUUAAGUUCCAGAGACCGAAGCUUCCCUUGUUGUCGGAGGUAAAAGUUUUACAUGAUUAAAUUUGGGUUUUUGGUAUUGUUAAAUUGCUGUAUGAGUAUUCAUUUUAAGUUACAUAAUAUGGAGGAGAAGUGUUGUUUCCAGAGAUGAUUCAUUUUUUCUGCUGUGUAAACAAAGUCAUGUAACUCUAAAUGGUUUAAUAAAGUGGUUAUAUUUUAGAACUUCUUUAAGUCGAGGGGGCCAUAAAAUAAAAAAAAAAACUCCUUGUUACUGCUGUUAUCUGUUUGAGCAUCAUUUCCAGAUAUUAUAGGCUUAAUCUUGCAGGUGCUGAAACUGAUUAUAGAAUUCUACAGUUCUAAGGGGUUCAUUAUAUAUGUCUGAAUUGCUUAGUUGAAUAAUAUAUUACGGUAAAACUAUAUAGAGCCCUCCAACCAUUUUCUUUAACUAUUGACAGUGUUUAAAUUUUAAUUAUUUUAAUUAAAUUUAUUUUAUCAAUUAAGUUGGAUUUUUUUUUUUUGGGAAAACUUCAAAAACCCCCCUGUGGUUUCGUAGUUUCUCACUUUGCCCCCCUGUGGUUUAAAAUAUAUCAAUUUGCCCUCCUGUGAUUUUGUUUUUCUCUUUUUCUUAUCAAUUUCAUUAUUUUUUUUUCUUAAAUCAGUAAUAAAGUUAAAAUUAAAGGAUACUAAAGUGAAUAUUUGAUAAAUCUAGAUGGGUAUCUGAAAUUUUUUGUAUAUAAUUUAACAAAAUAUUAACGAAAAAGCUACCGAAAAGAUAAAAACGAAACCACAGGGGGGGCAAAUUGAUACACUUUAAACCACAGGGGGGCAAAGUGAGAAACUACGAAACCACAUGGAGGGUUUUUGAAGAUUUCCCCUUUUUUUUUCAAAUCUAACAGUAAUUCUACAAAAAUUAACUGUUCUAUUGAUGAAACUGCAGAUUUUUCAAAUGUACCUUGGAGCUCAAAAUGCAUACGCUCUAACUUGAAAAUACUGUUUCCACUCCGAGAGAAACAUUUUUGAGGUUGUGAGUUAGCUAUUAACGCUUCUUCAAUUAGCUCAAUUUUUAGGGGGCAUUUGGUCCAGCGAUCGUUGAUCAGGAGGCUGUUUAAAGCCGGUUUGAUCCUGACCGUGAAAUGUGCAUCUCAUCUGACCUUGAUGAUUGUAUCGUGUGAAUUGUGAUCAGAUUUCACAUGUGGAUUGGGAUUCAGAGCGCUCACAAAAGAGGAGAAGGCUCGUUUAUUUAUUUCUUUAUUUAUUAUUUUAUUUAAUUCAGAAGGCUCAUUUAUUUUAUAUAUUUAUUUAUUAUUUUAUUUAAUCCGGGCGAAAGUUUAGUCCCACAUCGGAUGUUUGCCAUGCAGUGUUCGAGUGAGAGACUUUUAAAAGAGAUCGACGGUCGAACACUGGACCAUACUUACCUGGACGGGGUCUAUGGGCGAUCAAGAAGGCUCAUGGCCUAGGCCCGCGGCUCCCAUUGCACCUGGGGAGUGCGCUGGCCUACCAUCUCCCCAAGUGGGAGAGUGGACGUCAUAAUUUGUGGUAGAGGGGGUACGCGCACGCGCGGCCCCUACCAAUGACAAAUUUAAAUUU